rnacentral:lncRNA from 1 species
AGAGUUGAUGGGACGAACAUGUGCUAGAUGUUAUUGUACAAGAAGCCUUAAAAGUUGUAUUCUUGGAUUGGUUUCUAUAUAUACAUGUGUACCUUUACCAAGACGUGUUAUUGUACAAGAAGCCUCUCACACUCCAAGACGUGUACUGCUUCUACAAACACGUGUAACCCUUACCUCUCCCACUGAACUAAAUGGUUAAUACCUAAUUCCAUCUCCUCAUUCUCUCGCUUCUCUCCCUUCCUCUCUUACUUACACUUCUCUGUUACUAACUAAUAAAUAAAAGGUCACUUAGGCACAGGCUAUGGAGGCCUAAUUCCAAAUAAUAAUAGAGAAAUGUCACUAAGACGAUAGAUUGUGCAUUAGGAUUUAGGAGUACAAACAUGAGGUAACCACGAUGUUACAGUCUUAUGCAUUUACAUUUUGAUUCCUGUUUUUAGUGGCAUUUGUAAAUUUUGCUUAGUUUUAUCUGUUAUAUCUCGACGGACAUCUAAACCUGCGAUUCUAUCCUUUUUAGAUAAUAUUGAUCUACAAUUAUCAUUCUGCCUCUGAAAUUCUCCUUGUAUUUUUGCUUUAUUUUGUUGUCAGUUAGUCGUAUAUAAUUUUUAUUAUUUGGUUCUUUCAUAUAUGGACAUUGCUCUUUCUUUAUGUUCUCUUAGUGGAUUUUGUACAUGCAUGUGGUUGAUUGUUUAAAUGCUUCUAUAAAAGUACAGUGAAUUUACCAUCAGAAAGAAAAAAUCGUACUGAAAAGGGAAGAACUUAGAUGCAGCAAAGAUGUUUGACGAUAUGCCUCAACUAUUGUAAUUUUUUAAUUUCAUUUCUUUUUACUUGUAGGUAAUCUAUAAGGCAGAGAUCUAUCAUCUGGCAGCACCAAAGGUAUAUUACUUAUUCCUAUUGGAUAGGAAUACUGAGCAAUAAUGUGCAUUAUAUUUAUUUGAAAUGCAUUUAAUUUUCCUAUAUGUUUAUUGCAGUAUUACUACUGUUUGUCUAAAUAAACAGGGAAAAUCAGAUACAAUCCAAACUGGCAUGGAGUUCUUUUUUUGAUCCAUUUUUCUAUUCGGUAUGUAAUGAUGAUUGAAUUAUCUAGCUCAACAAUAAUUACACUUUUGAUCGUGUUUAAAAACUUCUCAAAGGGUUGCAUUAUAGCUAAGAUACCUUUUCGGUUGUAUUUUUCUGUUACAAUAAUUAAUUUAUUGCGUAAUUUCCUUGGUUGCGCACAUGAAUGUGUGAUUAUGUGGAAGAAGUGUGCUAUGGUUUCACGAAUCGACAUUUCAAGAUUGCCCUAGAAUUAGUUCUUUUAAGCAUUUUUUAUAAUAUUUUCUUUUAAGCAGUUUUCUCUAAGGAUUUCUUUUAAGCAUUUUUUGUUUGGUUGGUUACUGAUUCUCAUUAGAUACUGAGUUGUUUCCUUGUGACUAAGUGUUACUAUUUACCUAUUACGGAAGUGAGAACUUGACAAUUAGGUGGAAUUUAUUUUCCUAUCUUGGAAUUGCCCGACCUUUCUCUAUAAUCCAAGUAACUCUUCUCUAUGUUCCAUAUUUAAGCUUUUACAUCCAUAUAUUUUCAUUAUUUAUGUAAUUUUUAAUGGUACAUGACUUUAUUCUACCUUCUUCUCUGAUGAAUUUCAGUGAGCUUCAUUCGCCACUUUGACACUUUAAUGAGUGAACUGGAAAGACAUUGCAGUUGUAGGUGAGCGUCAAUGCAUGACUUUUCUUUCUUCGUCUUAUUUCCUUUCCUCUUUCUUAUUCUGUCUGAAUUAUCUAAGUAAAAUUGAGAAUUCAAUAAAGGAUUGAGGAAUUUUUAAGUAAACAGAAUGAAACUAAAAAUGAUGUGAAGGAAGGAUAAACAGAAUAUGGAGGGAGGAGUACAUUAUAGAUUUCUGGUUAGCUUUAGUUCGAUGAGUAGCAUUGAGAAUUAGCACCCUUCUGCCAGGUGAAAGCCAGUUAGAGCUGCAUGAUCUUUUCGUUGCAUUCGGUGAUAUAGCCGCAUAUUCUUUUUAAUGCUAAAUGACAUUCCACUAUGAUUUGGUGCAUCAAAUUGUAUAAGGUAAAAUUGGAGGUUAAAUGGUAAAGAUAGAAAAUGGAGAAGAGUAUAAACUGCACAAGAGACAGGAGUUAGGAAAGUAUAAACUCCACUCAGUUCACAAUCUUGCACAUGAUCCAAAACCUAAAAAAAUAGAAGCAGGAGUUAGGAAAGUUGAUGCAAGAUCAAAAGACAUUCACAAGCUCUCCUCGAGAACUAGCGAGCGAAGUGCAAAUGCUCAAAACGACCGGCCGGGUCGUUACAUCCUCCUUCACUUAAACAUACGUUCGUCCUCGAACGUGCCCAGAGUUGUUCUCAAAGCCAUCAAACCAUAGUGUAACCUUACCAUGCACAUACCUGGGGGUGAUCCUAUGUCACCCUAUCCCAUAUAGGUCUGAUAACAUAACAUAACUGAAAUUUCUUAAUUCAACCUAGCCCAUAAGCCUUAGAAUUCAAUUUCCAAUAUCCGGAAUUUACUAUAAGAUUAGAAUCUCGCAUCUACACACUGUUUGAGUCUGAACAAGUUGUAUCAAGCCUUAUCCAUAACCCAAGAUGUAAUCACAUGAUAUACAGCAAAACUCAAAUACGCAUAGAGAUAAUUUUCAAUCAUAGUUCUGCUCAAAACAACUCCAUGCCGGUAAUAAACCUUUUAUCAAACAAAACCUCGGUCUAACACCUUCAUAUACUGCCAAUGAUAAAAGAAACACGCAGAAACUCAUAGCCAUUCAUCAGAUCAACCUGAUAUGGAAUCUCUGCCUCCUUCGACAAGAACUAUAGCAAAUUUUCUAAGCCGACUUUCGAUAUUAUCCUUCCAACAUGUUGUAAUCAAUUUCGAUAGUAUUCAUUCUAGGUCCAAUGACCUCAUCUCAUCCAACCACUGGUCCAUGGCAUAUGCCUCAAGCCACCUUGAUCAAAAUCAACAACAUGCGUGAUUCGACAUCAAGUUCCCAAAGUGAAUUACUAUAACCACGGAGAAGCAAAUGACGCAAAUGCCACACAAGACUGAAAGAACAUAACCAAUGUCCAAUCAAUCAUGCAACAACCAAAUACUCAUCUCGCUCAAAUUUCGCUAUAAAGCCCAAAUGGAACCAUACCGUGUGUGCAUAUAACCAACGAAUCACAACCCCUCACAACAUGGAAGAGUAGCACAUAGAAUAUAUCCGAUACGAAUAAAAUCAACUCUAACCGAAUGGCACAUCCCUCAACAAUAGCAAUAUGGAGCCAACCAAUCUGGCUCUGUAUAGAAUACACAUCCAAAUUGGGCCUACUAAUGGACCCCCAAAUCAGCUCUAGUCACCCACAAAUAGAUGAAUAACCCUUCGAAAGUUCACAAUGACUGAAUCAUAACACAUACUAUCAUCUGACUAGCUUUGCCCACAUCUUCACAGUCCACAACCACGAAAUAACCUAUUUAUGAGAACUCCCAGUCUCCAAAUCCAUAGAGCACAUGAAUCACCAUAUCUGAUCCCAACUCCACCGCCCGAAUAUCUAACACAUCUCUCAUAUAGGAUCAUCCUGCGAGGAAUACUUCUAGAAUUCUUCCGUGCCACAUAGCAAAAUCUAAAUAUCAGCAGUCGAUCAACUAGGAGGAUGUCUUAAUACCAAUGAAGUAUCCAUAAAUCAAAGCACAUCGCCUCUUCUGAAAUGUGCACUAUCAUCAAACCAUACCAAAUAGUAAUAUCAAUUACCUAAUCAUCUAAAACCGUCCAUGUUGCCUAAGAAUUUUAUGAUCUUCUCUUCAAAACUGAGUUGUGACCUUGCUCAUGCAAAUCUCCAUCCCACACAAUACACCAUAUAUACCAUGCCAUCAUAUGAAAAAUACGAGAACUUCAUAAUCCACUCCGGGUAUAAGCAACUACAUACUCAAUUAUCCAAGGACCUUCCAUUUGAUUUCAUCCAGGAGAAAAUCACUAUACAUCACAUGCUCCUUACGCCUGUCGCGCCCCGUUUGUUCCUCCGCAGAGAAAGUCCGAGUUCCGACAUUCAUGGGGGUAAAAAACUCAUUUUCUUUUGGGAUUUGAGUAUUUGAAGAGUCGCCACCUAACGGAUUAUGGUGCGUUAGGGCACCCAGAGCGAUUAACUCUUGGAUUGGUUUGCAUUACCAGAGAUUUAGGGUAAGGGCUCGAAAUAACCUAGAGGGGAAGGUGUUAGGCACCUGACACAAAUAACAAUAAGAUAAGGAAUUUCAACGAGUUGCAUACAAAAGAGUAAAGUUUAAACAUUGGGAAUUGGAAAAGGAGUCCUAGGUUGGUUAGCCNNNNNNNNNNNNNNNNNNNNNNNNNNNNNNNNNNNNNNNNNNNNNNNNNNNNNNNNNNNNNNNNNNNNNNNNNNNNNNNNNNNNNNNNNNNNNNNNNNNNNNNNNNNNNNNNNNNNNNNNNNNNNNNNNNNNNNNNNNNNNNNNNNNNNNNNNNNNNNNNNNNNNNNNNNNNNNNNNNNNNNNNNNNNNNNNNNNNNNNNNNNNNNNNNNNNNNNNNNNNNNNNNNNNNNNNNNNNNNNNNNNNNNNNNNNNNNNNNNNNNNNNNNNNNNNNNNNNNNNNNNNNNNNNNNNNNNNNNNNNNNNNNNNNNNNNNNNNNNNNNNNNNNNNNNNNNNNNNNNNNNNNNNNNNNNNNNNNNNNNNNNNNNNNNNNNNNNNNNNNNNNNNNNNNNNNNNNNNNNNNNNNNNNNNNNNNNNNNNNNNNNNNNNNNNNNNNNNNNNNNNNNNNNNNNNNNNNNNNNNNNNNNNNNNNNNNNNNNNNNNNNNNNNNNNNNNNNNNNNNNNNNNNNNNNNNNNNNNNNNNNNNNNNNNNNNNNNNNNNNNNNNNNNNNNNNNNNNNNNNNNNNNNNNNNNNNNNNNNNNNNNNNNNNNNNNNNNNNNNNNNNNNNNNNNNNNNNNNNNNNNNNNNNNNNNNNNNNNNNNNNNNNNNNNNNNNNNNNNNNNNNNNNNNNNNNNNNNNNNNNNNNNNNNNNNNNNNNNNNNNNNNNNNNNNNNNNNNNNNNNNNNNNNNNNNNNNNNNNNNNNNNNNNNNNNNNNNNNNNNNNNNNNNNNNNNGCCUAAAGUGUUCUAGUAACCUUGACAAUGUCCUACGCGUGCACUACCCAUCCCUUCCUUGUGGCCUUGGAGGUAUUUUAGGACCUCUAUUCUUUGGACAGUUCUAGACUUUCCUAAGGUUUUAAAGGAUAAAAUCUAGGCGUCAAUCAAGAACAGUUAGGACUUCAUAUAAAAAAGAAUAAGUUAUAGGCUGACAGUUACCUCCUCAAACUUAGCAAGUAAGUGUACGUCUUCAAACAACAUUUCAAUGCUUAAGAGAAAAUCCUAGAAGAAGAUAUCUAGGUGAGCAGGGGUUAUACAACCUUGAAUUAGGACAAAGUAUCAAAAUCCUAUUUAACUUGCCUAGUGGUUUAAACCUGUUAAAUCUGGAUAGCUUAAGUAGCAAAACACAGUUUCAGAGUUGCAGAAUUUAAAAUCACCUUAUAGGCUUGCCUAAACGCAGAACAGUGAUGUCCUAAGAGCAAGGUAUCUAUGUGGGUGCAGUAAAUCAAUGAACAAUGUUAAACGGACAUUUGAGAUCCUAUAGGCAUGCUUUCUAGCAGUAAUGAGUUAAGGCAUUGUUUUAAAAAACUCAAUUAAUGAAGUUGAUAGUUGCUUAAGCCAAUUUCAAAGUGAACUAACAUGAAUUAGACUGACUUGUGUAACUAAAUUGAUUUUAAUUCUAUAGGCAGAAUUUCUGAUUUUAAUUCCUAUAAGCAUGAUAUCUAAUUGUUAAGAGUUGAUGUUGGAACUUAUAGGCAUGAUUUUAGUGAGACAAAUGUAAACACAUGCAGUAGCAGGAAUUGAACUCAAUCAAUUUACACUCUAUAUAGCCAUGGUAUCUAAUUAUGAAGUUGAUUUUUAACCUAUAGACAUGGUUUCUAUUAUUGAAUCCAUUUAAACCCUAUAGACAUAAUUUCUAAUAUGGGAACCUUUUAAACCCUAUAGGCAUGGUUUCUAGUGUGGUAAAGCAAACAUAGCAAGUAUAUUAAUAUAUAAUUCUAUAAACAUGGUAUCUUCCUGAAUUACCCCACAGAUAUGUAACUACCCACCCCUUUUCACUAAUCACCUCCAAUGUUGUUUACAAAUAAUUAUUACAGACCAGCUGAACAAAUUACAUAAACAAAUAAAGAAGAAAAAAGAAGAAGUUAAUUAUAGGGAGCCUGAAGUAGGCCCAAAUGACUUCUCAAGCCUCCAAUAGCCUCAAGUGCCACAGUACCAUAGACAAUAUCUUGUCCAGGUGUGUCAAAGUUCCCUAAGGACCUCAAGGAUCCCGGGCAGUGCUCACACCUAGACCCUUUUUCAAAAAUAACUGAUUUAAGUGUAGUAUGGAAGGGCCAGCUCUGACAUGCUAGAGUUCAGAGAAAUCUCAUGGAUCUCAAGGGAGUACACAUGCUAGAGGGGCAUGAUCUAAAUAUUCUAGGAGUAAUGGAGAGUGCUUGACACAGAAAAAGUUUAGUAGACAGAGAAAGAAGGUCUUAGUAAUAGAAAGAACUUUUAGGAAAGACAUAAUAGAGUUUUAAGAGUAGGAAUAGUUUAAGAAGACAUUUAAACAGUCAGAAAUCAGGUUAGAGAACAUACAGCUUCAGAACAAAUCUCACACAAGGGAUAGAGGUAGGGGAACACCUAGCAUACACCUUAGUGAUGUCAAUCAAGUAUAGAGAUGGUAGUUACAAAGUUAAGUUGGGAACACAUAGGUUUAAGACACAAGCAGAAUUACAUUAGAACAAACUGUACCAGACAAACAUUUCAUGAAAAACAUUCAAGGUAUUAGAACAAGCAGGGUUUGGUCAUGCUAAAUAGUAUGAAAUCAUAAGCUUGAAACAUGCUUUGUGAUACAGUAAUCUAGGCAUACUGAUUGCAUCUAAGUAGAAUAACUCAUAAAACUGGAAAUCAAGAUUGAUAAAGUGCAGUAACAAAGUAAACACAUAACUUGGAAUGUGAAUUUAAUCAGAACAUACCAGUCAGGAGAGUAUGCAGAAUACAGAGUAAAGAUAAUGCCAGUAGUCAACCUUGGGUUACAGCCGGCUGAACUAGUAGGAAUUGUAAGGAACAGAAGAGAAUAGAGGGUUUUAGGAGUAUAAUAGUAUAGAUGAACUAGGGUGCCUUGUUAUGGUUGUUAACUUAAAGGAAGAGGAGAUUUAUAUAGGAGUCGAAAACUUAACAAAACAAGGCAAGAGAUCAAUUGAGUAGUAAAUCAAGGAAGUUACCCAUAAAUAAGCAAGAUCUUCCCUUAAUCAAGGGACAAUUCAAUCAACGGUAAACAUGCCAGGCAUUUAAGGAAAAGAAUAAAGUAAAGCCUUAGGUAUAGAAUAGGUAAUUAAGGGCUAGGUACAUAAAGUUCUAAUUAGGGAAAUAAUCAGUAAGAAUCAAUUCAUAAUGCGGACAAGGUAAGGGAAGUUUAAUUAAGGCAAGCAAAUCAAUCAAAUUGAGUAAAGAAGCAAGAAUCAAACGUUUAAAGGAAAGUAGUCAAAUUAAACCAGAAAAUAAGGGAUUCAGAGUAAUCAAGGGUUCAAAAAAUCGUGAAAGAAGCAGCAUGCUUAGCAUACAAAAUGAGGUAAGGCAUGAACAGUCAGAGUUUCACACAGCCUCGACAAAACCCAUGGUUAAACGACACUGAUGCAAAGAGAAGCAUGCAAGUUUUGCAUGAAUGGAUAAUACAAACACAAAUUCAUAAUAUCACUGGAAGUUUGAACAAAGAAGAUUCAAUAGAAGCAUACUAGGAAAAGUAAAUCAUGAGAAGUCACAAGAAACUAAGGCAAGAACACAGUCAGAAGUACCCAUAUCAGAAACCAAACGAAAAAACCCUAACAUUAGGGUUUUCAGUACAAACGGGCUAGGGUUGCAACAAGUUUAUAAAAUUAGUCAAAAACGUGUGAGAAUCAGAAGUUUAAACACAAAGAAUCAUCAAACAAAGUUUUAAAAGAAAUUCUGAAAAUCCUAAUUUUAGAAAAAGUGAAGAAUUCACUUGAAAUCAAACGAUUCUGGUAGAGAAUCUCAAGGAUAUUGUAAAACACACAAGAAACAAACUCAAAUUGUCCUAUAUUUGUACAGAUCUAGGAGGUAUAGAAAAGAAAUUUGUCACGACCUGGAUUUCCCACCCUCGGGAGUCGUGAUGACGCUUACUAAUAUGAGCUAGGCAAGCCAAUCCUUAACAGCUUACUUCAUUAACAAAUCACUUCUUUUAACGAUUAUCAGUGAUAGCAUGAAAACAGCGGAAUUUAGUAAAUGUACGGAAGACUUAAAUUAAAGAAACGGAACAAUAAUACGGAAAUCAACAUAUGCCUCUACCCAAGAACUGGUGUCACAUUACUCACGAACUUCUAAGAGUACUAAAUACAACCGUUUGAAAGAAAAAUAUAAACUGUUUGUCUCGAAUACAUGAGAUAACAGACUAAAAUAAAGAGAGAGGAGACGCCGGGCCUGCGGACGCUUACAAGGCUACCUCGGUGUCUCACUAGACUGAAAGCUGGCUCCCGCGCUACUGCUACUGUCCAAGACCUGGAUCUGUGCAAAAGAGCACAGAGUGUAGUAUCAGCACAACCGACCCCAUGUGUUGGUAAGUGUCUGGCCUAACCCCAGAGAGGUAGUGACGAGGCUAGGACCAGACUCCAAAUAAACCUGUGCAGUUAUAUACUAUAUGACGGGAAAGUAAACAGACAAUAAGCAAUCAAAGCUGGGAAAGGGGAAACAUGCUCCGGGGGUAGCAGGUAAAAUAGAAUAACAAAGAAUAGUAAAGAAACUACAAUUUAACUUCUAAGACGGAUAAAGAGAAAUAAGGCAACUUUCACUUUCAGUUUCAUCUUGUUGCAGGUGUGCAACCCGAUCCCAUUUCUCAUAUCUUGUGGUAGGCGUACCACCUGCUCCCAUUUCAGUAUAUCCUGUGGUAGGCGUACCACCCGCUCCCAUUUCAUUAUAUCUUGUGGUAGGCGUGCCACCUGCUCCCAUUUCAUUAUAUCUCGUGGUAGGCGUACCACCCGCUCCCAUUUCANNNNNNNNNNNNNNNNNNNNNNNNNNNNNNNNNNNNNNNNNNNNNNNNNNNNNNNNNNNNNNNNNNNNNNNNNNNNNNNNNNNNNNNNNNNNNNNNNNNNNNNNNNNNNNNNNNNNNNNNNNNNNNNNNNNNNNNNNNNNNNNNNNNNNNNNNNNNNNNNNNNNNNNNNNNNNNNNNNNNNNNNNNNNNNNNNNNNNNNNNNNNNNNNNNNNNNNNNNNNNNNNNNNNNNNNNNNNNNNNNNNNNNNNNNNNNNNNNNNNNNNNNNNNNNNNNNNNNNNNNNNNNNNNNNNNNNNNNNNNNNNNNNNNNNNNNNNNNNNNNNNNNNNNNNNNNNNNNNNNNNNNNNNNNNNNNNNNNNNNNNNNNNNNNNNNNNNNNNNNNNNNNNNNNNNNNNNNNNNNNNNNNNNNNNNNNNNNNNNNNNNNNNNNNNNNNNNNNNNNNNNNNNNNNNNNNNNNNNNNNNNNNNNNNNNNNNNNNNNNNNNNNNNNNNNNNNNNNNNNNNNNNNNNNNNNNNNNNNNNNNNNNNNNNNNNNNNNNNNNNNNNNNNNNNNNNNNNNNNNNNNNNNNNNNNNNNNNNNNNNNNNNNNNNNNNNNNNNNNNNNNNNNNNNNNNNNNNNNNNNNNNNNNNNNNNNNNNNNNNNNNNNNNNNNNNNNNNNNNNNNNNNNNNNNNNNNNNNNNNNNNNNNNNNNNNNNNNNNNNNNNNNNNNNNNNNAUUUCCCCCAUGAAAAUCUUUGAUUUGAAGUUGAAAUCAUGUUAAAAGAUGUUAAGGAGUGAAGAAAAUAAGUUAGAAAUCACUUACCAGCGUUUUGGACUUCAUUCUUGAACAGACCCCAUCUCAAAUCUCUACAUCUAUGAGCUUUCCUAGUCUCUUUCAAAAAUAUAAUUCUAUCUACGACCUCUUUUUUUUAUCUGUGCUACUAUAUAACAGCUAUUUACAAAUUAAUCUCUAAAUAACUUCCAAUUCCUAGCCCUCCGGAUGUGAUAUAUUGUAGCACUCCAAACAACAACAAUGACUUCAUUCUUGAACAGACCCCAUCUCAUCCGCUUCAACCAUUCUAGCCUAUGCUUCACUCCUUGUUGUUGUCCAUUGAUUCUAGUCCAUGCUGCAAGUCUCUCUUAUCUCUUUGUACCAUCCACACUCUGAGAACAAGUGCAGGUGUGAUUCAGUGACAUUCUCAUCACAUAGGCAAUAUGUGGUAUCAACUACAUGAAUAUUCAUCUUCACCAUCAUCUACAUGAAUAUUCAUCUUUACCGUUCUAUCUUUGGGUAAUAAUUUGCUUUGUACUACUAACCAUAAGAUAACUCUAUGUUUAGGUUGUAUAACUCUGCACUAAAUUAAAUUUGCCGCCUUCAUUUUGCUCAAAGUCCCUUGCAAAGAAAUGUAGCUAUUGCUAAUAGAGUAGUUCCCAUUAGGUGUCAAUUAAUCCCAAGUUGACAUGUCCUGUUUUAUAGCAGUAAUCUUCUUCCAGUACUAGCUAGAAUCUUGAGAAGGAGAAUGAUUCCAAAUAUCGUUUUGAUUUCUCAUAUAGAGGCCAUUGACCCACUUUACCUACAACACAUCUAUAUUUAGAGCUAACUACCAUACUAAUUUCCCAAUAGAAGCCACAAUCCAACACCUGUUGCUUUUAAUAUUGAGUCCACCAAAUUUCCUAGGUAUGCAAACUUUCUCCUAUGCUACUAGUGCCACCUUUCGUUUCUCAGUUGAGGAACCCCAUAGAUAGCUUCUGCAUUUUUGAUCCACCUCUUUCAAAAUACACUGGGGAAGAAUAAACAUUGUACCCCAGAAAUUAAAAAUAGAAAACAGAACAACACUUAUGACUUGCAACCCGCAGCAUAUGAUAACUGCCUAGAGUAACUAACGUUUAUCCUAUUUGUGAGUUUUUCCACCAGUUGGUGACAUUCCAUUCUACUCCAUUUCUUUGACAAUGGCAAUCCCAAAUAUCUUAUGGGAAAUGUACCUAAUGUGAGACGUGUUUGAGCUAGUGGCACCUGCUUUGUUUGUUCAUCACUCCAGCAAGAAACAUACUCGACUUGUCUAAGUUAGCCUUUAGCCUAGUAGCAUGAUCGAAGUGUUGUAGUGCCUCCAUAACUCGUGUUACUGAUGUAUGAUCACAUUUAGAAAAGAUCGUACAAUCAUUAGCAAAUAUCAAGUGAGUAAGACUGAGUGUUUUACACAUGGGAAGAAACAUAAAAUCAGGUAAAUGACUCAUUUUUUAAGAGUUCUGGACAGGUACUCUAUAACAAUCACAAAUAGCAUGGGUGACAUUGGGUCACCUUGUCUAAUUCCCUCUUGCCUUCAAAAUAUCCAUGCCCCUCACCGUUGAACAUUACAGAGAAUUUUGUGGAUAAAAUACAAGCCAUUACUAAGAAGAAAUAUUUAUCUGGAAACCAAACCCUUUCAGAUCUUCUUCUACAAACUCCCAGCUAACCAUGUCAUAUGCUUUCCAUAGAUCAAUUUUCAUUAGACAUUUAGGAGAAGUUUUUCUAUUAUAAUUCCUAAGUAAAUCAUGGCAUAUUAGGACAUUAUGUACCAAAGAUCUCCUCUCAACAAACAUUGCUUGGUUUUCAACUACUAUGUGCCCAAAAACUUUCUUUAAUCUCUGACAGGUCAUCUUUGAGAUGCAUUUGUAUAUAACAUUGCACGUGAAAUAGGCCUAUAUUGGUUUGAAUUAAUAGUAGUAACUUUCACCUUAAGGUUGAGUGCUAUCAUGGUGGAGUUAAUUUGUGUCAACAACUGCCCAUUGUCAAAGAACUCCAAAAUUGCUGUUGAGAUGUCCUGACCAAUUACAUUCCAUGCAGCCUUAUAAAAGCCACUUCCAUAUCCAUCUGGACCUGGUCUUUUAUUGCUAUCUAUCUCAGACAUAGCCCUGUUAACAUCAUUUGCAUUAUACUUUUGUAAUAGCUAUACCUGCUACUCCACUAUUAGUAUGUACCCAUUUUUAAUACACCUACAUUAGCCUUACAUCUUGAUUCCUCCUUUUGCCCAUUAGUUCUUCAUAAUGCUAAGCAAAUUUAUUUGCAAUAGCUAUUGGAUCAUUCUGAGUGAUAGCGUUCUUAUCUUGUAGUUGUACUAUGGCAUGCUACAAUUUCCUGUGUUUAAUGACAGAGAAGAAGUACUUAGUGUUAUCAUCCCCAAGUCGUAUCCAUCUAGCCUUGCUUCUUUGCUUCAGAAAUAUUUCAGCCAAGUAAGAGGUUCUUCUGUAUUCCUGAUAUUUUGCUUGUUCUGCUUGUUGCAGCUGCAUGUUCAUAGGAUCCUCUUGCAAUGCGCUUUGAAUUUUUAACAAGCUAUUUUAUUCUUUUCAGCAUCAGUUAUGAAUCUGCUGAACUGCUGACCAUUUAGCUUCUUUAAGUUCCCCUUCAAAAGUUUUAAUUUCUUGAUAACUUGAAACAUCUUAUACCCCCAGAAUCUCUGUAUCCCACACAUUUUCCACCCUUUCCAAAAAUUGAGGAUGACUGACCCAAAUAUUACAAAACUAAAAGGCUUUCUUUGUUCUUGAGGAGUCACUUAGUGCUGCUAUUUUCACUGGAAAAUGGUCACUCAGUGGAGACAUUGUACCUUGCUUGUCAUUCCAGGUGUACCUGUUCCCAUGAUGUGGAAGUUUCAUGAUCUCACAAUCUUCCACGCAUUCCUUAAACUCCACCACCUCAGCCACUGUAACUAGAUUGCCUCCUAAUCUAUCCUCUAAAUCAAGGACUGAAUUAAAGUCACCUAAUACCAUCCAAGCACCAGUGCAUACCACCCUUUGCCUAGUUAAGUAUUCCCAUAAUUCUCUUCUUUCACUUAUGUGAUUAUAAGCAUACACAAAAGUUAUAUAAAACUCCACAUGUUCAGCUAUACUAGUCACCUGACAUGUUAUAGCUUGGGCUAACUUAGGUACAUCUAUAACAUGAUAAAUAUCUUGCCUCCACACAAUACAAAUUUUUCAAUUCUAAUGCUGCUCCAAAUUAGAUGUACUGCCAACCCCCUAACAUAUUGUUAAUCACAUUAUCAAGUCUUCAUACCUUAACUUUAGUUUCCAACAAUCUUAUUAGACCAAUAUUUUGUUCAUUACAAUGGAGUCUAACCUCCUUUUGUUUGUUAGGGGCAUUGAGGCCACUAACAUUCCAUGCUAGGAUGCUAACCAUUAGCUAAGGGAGGAAAGUCAUGUCCUCCCUCAUUUAUAGCUUGACUCACCAACUGUUUCCUUCGUUGUUCCUUUUUACCAAGUGCCUGAAACGAAUUUUGUGCUACCACUAUCUAAUUUUACUUUGUCAAUUAUGGAUUUUGUCUUGCUGCAUGCCUAUUCACAGGGGUAACCCAACCAGCUGUUGGUGUAUUGCCUUUGUCAACCUGUUUAUUUGUUCUCUAUGUGCCCGCCCUUUCUUGUACAUUAACUUCCACCUAUUUUUUCCCCUUUACUGCCUUUGUACCUUCUUUUUGCUCGACUCCCUUGUUCCUAUAAUUAGCUUGAUCAGGGUGUUCCCCUUGCUCUUUGGGCACCUUUGGUUUGGGAGCUUUCUUCUUCUUACAUUCAUCCUCUGAAUGUCUAUAUAUUUGACAAAAUUUGCAUAGGGUUGGCUUCUAGUCAUACUGUAUUUUUUGUUUAAUCACUAUCCCUUUUCUCAUUUCUAAAAAAUAAUGUGCCCAGUAGAUUGGAAUCUAGUUCCACUUCAACCAGUAGCCUAGAAAAAUUUAAACCCUUCUUCUUCUUAGUGUUACGAUCCACCAUUAAUGGUUUUCGAAUUAAGCUUCCUAUCUUACUGAGCCCUUUUGGAUUUCAACAUUUGAAAUCAAGCCUAGGAAGCUUAAUCCAAAUUGGUAGCGUUUGUAAUUCCUCUUUUGUGAAUUCCAUGGCGGCACUCCAUGCUUUAACAAUGAACGACUUGUUGUCAAAGUGAUAAAUUCCUCCUUCAAGGACAUCAUUUUCCCCUGCUUCUGAGUUGAACCUCACCAAAAUUAUGCCAUUCCUCAACAUUGAAAUUUUGUUUAUACCAUAUUUUUCCCACAGUCGCUGGAUGAAUCCAUUCAAAAUAGAGAAUGGGGGCGGGCACCAAGUACGUAACAUACAACGACAGUACUCAAGUAAUCUAUUUCUGAACUGAUAUUCUCAACAUCAAUUGCGCAAACUUUUGUUUGUCCAUGUACUUCCGGUUGAACAUACUCCAACUUGAAACCUGCGUUUGAAAUUUUUUGUAACAUCAAAAUUAUCCCAAAUUGAUGGUCAUUUCACUUGGCUUUCUGCUGCAUCACCUCUUCCGCCCAUGUGAGUUUGCGGCUACUCAUCGGGGAUUGCACAAUUCGAUCCCAUUCUAUUAACAAGGGGGAUUUAGGAAUUUCCUUUUCUUCUAUGAUUACCUCCUCGAUUUGGCUAAUCUCUUCUUCGGUUAUGCUUUGUUUUUCAAUUGAUGUUGUUUUUGCGUUGUUUCCUCUCUUCCUAGCCUGAAUACCUCAUUGCAAAGUUACUGCUUGCAUCAUCAGCACCUUCUGAGUAAGAAUCUGAGCACUCUUACCCAUGGCGUGCACAGGUUAGUUAUCAUGCACGCCAGAGCAUUCUUACUCAGAAGGUGCUGAUGGGUAAUAGUUAUCAGCACCUUCUGAGAGAGUUUCUAAUGGCUUGGUUAUGUGUAAAUGGGUUUCGAAGUGUUCUUGGUGAUUUUUGCCAUAACUUGAGAUGGAUUUAUUUACAGGUAUGAGGGAUAUGUGACAUGUUAUGAUUUUCUCCUGGAUGGGAUCAAGGAAGGUUUCCAACUAAUCGAGUAUGUAAUUUGCUUGUGACCAAGGGUCGAUAAUGCAGUUCUCGUGUUUUCAUAUGGUGUGGUGGAGUUGGGACCGGCUAUGGUAAUUCAUGUUAUCUAUGGAUUUGGAGACUGGGACGUGUUUGUGGAUUGUGAAGACGUGCCCAAAGUUAACUAGAAGGUAGUAUGUGUUAUGGUUAGGUCAUUGUGGACUUUUGGAGGGCCAUUUGUCCAUUUGGGGAUGACUGGAGUUGAUUUGGCGGCCCAUUGGUAGGCCCAAUGAGGAUGUGUAUUCUACACCGAGUCGGAUUUGUUGACUCAGCACUGUUAUUACUGAAAGGUGUGUCAUUCAGUUAGAGUUGAUCUUGCUCGUGUUCGGAUAUGUUCUAUAUAUUACUCUUCUAUGCUACGAGGGCUUGUGAUUUAUUGGGUAUAUGCUUAUAAGAUGCGGUUUUAUUUGGGCCUUGUAGCGAAUUUUGAGUGAGAUAGUUAUUGGGGAGUUGAAUGGUUGAUUGUGCCUUGGCUAUGGUCUUUUCGGGCCGUGGUAUAUAAUGUUAUUCACUCCUCCAUGGUUAUGGUCAUGCACUUCGUGUACUUGAUGUGGAAUUGCGUCUGAUUGUCGAUUUUGAGCAUUGUGGCUUGAGGUAUUUCAUAGGACCAUUGUUUGGAUGGGGUCACGUGUUGCAACAGAGUUAUGUUGAGAUAUGAUCAUUUUAGAUAGAUUCAUGUGUUUUGGUUCUACUAUGUGUGAUGGGUUCGUAGCAUUGCGUUUGUGGUGGCACUUGUUGAGCUUGCGGGAUGGUUCUCUCAUUUGAGUCAUUUUCCAUGUUUGAAUACUUUUGAAUUGUUACUUAUUGGUGCACAGAUUGUACAGUUGUUGCUUUAGGUUGUAUUGGUGUGGCAUGUCAAUAGAAUAGUUGUGUUUGAUGAUAUAUGGUCAUUGGACCCAAAAUGGAUACUAUCGGAAUUGAUUACAGUAUGUUUGAAAGAAUAAUAUCGGAAGUCAGCUUGGGAUUUGGCUUUGGUUCUUGUCGGACAAGAGAGAGAGCUCCAUGACUUGUUGAUCUAAUAAGUGGUUAUGAGUUUAUGCGUGUUUCUUUCAUCCUCAGCAGUGUACAAAGGUUUUGAAUGAGUUUUUAUUUGAUAUAAGGUUUACUACCAGUGUCGGGUUUGUUUUGAACAGCUACUGUGAUCAGCAAUUAUUGCUACGAGUAUGCGAGUUGUGUGGUAUAUCAUGUGAUUAUAUCUUGGGUGAUUAUUAUGGCUUGAUACUGCUUGUUGAGACUUAUACAGUGUGUAAAUGCGAGUUCAGGUCUUGUAAGGAAUUUUGGAUGUUGGAAAUUGGGUUCUAAGGCUUAUGAACUAAGGUUAAAGUAAUGAUCUUCAAUUAUGUUGUGUUUUCAGGCUUACAUGGAUUGGAGUAACGUGGGAUCACCCUCGGAUAUGUGCGUGGUAAAGUUACACGGCGAUUUGAUGGAUUUGGAACGACUCUAGGCGCGUUCGAGGACGAACGUACAUUAAAGUGGGAGGAGAAUGUAACGGCCCCACUGGUCGUUUUGAGCAUUUGCAUUCUAUUCAGCUAUUUAAAGUCUUGAGUAGCUUCGUAUGAUGUUUAUGACUUGCGUGAAUCAUCAAUUUUGGUUUUCAGGUGAUUCAGAAUUGAUUUGGAAAAGUGAUUCUCAACUAGAAAGCUUUAAGUUGGAAGAAUUGACCAAAUUUGGCUUAUUAGUAUUUGAACUCGGAUCAAAGUUUUAAUAGUUCUGUUAGGUCCGUAUGGUGAUUUUGGACUUGGGCGUUUGCCCGGACUUGCAUUUGGAUAUUUCUAGAAGGUUUUGGCACUAUUUGGCGAAAGAUGGAAAUUUGAAGGUUUGGAAUAUUCAUAAGUUUUAUUGAGAGUUGACUUUGAUGAUUUGGAAUCUCAACAACUUUAUUAUAUUAUUUGGGACUUGUGUGCAAAAUUUGAGUUCAUUCUGAGUUGGUUUGAUAUUGUUCGGCACAAGUUUUGUAGGUUUAAAAGUCAACCAUUCAUUAAGUUCGAUUUGAGGUGCGAUUCGUGAUUUUUGAUCUUGUUAUGUGUGAUUUGAGACCUCGAGAAGGUCCGUGUUAUGUUUUGGGACUUGUUUGCAUGUCUGGACGGGAUCCCGAGGGGCUCAAGUAAGUUUCAGAUAAUUUCCAUGUUCUUUGGCACUGCUAAUUUCUGGUGUAGCUGACCCUUUUCAUUGCAUAGUGUAUUAUUGGAUCUAACCUUUUUUUCUUCAUUAUGUUCGCGAUUGUGUUCUCACGUUUGCGUACCUUUGUGAGACCUGAGCAUCGUGUUCGCCUUCUUUAGCUCGGGUUCGCAUAGAGUGAGUUGAGAAGCUGGGGACUAGAAGAAAUGCCUUUACAUUCGUGAAGUAUCAGCAACAUUCGCGAAGGUUUGGAUCUGGUGCAGAUCGCGUUCGCAAGGUCUAUGCCGCGAACGCGUCGGGUCUUUUGUGGCAAAGUAUUUUUGUGCAUCGCAAACGCGAUGGUCCUUCCGCGUGCGUGAAAAGUAUACUUGGAGCAGACCUUAAAGUACUCUAUUUCGAAGGUUUCGGGCAUUUUAUCAUAUUUGGAGCUAUGAAGCUGGGAUUUAGGAAAUUUUGGAGGCGAUUUUCACCACAUGGAAUGGGGUAUGUAUUUUCUAUUCGGUAUUGAUUUUAUUUUGUGAUUUCAUCUUCGUUUUUGGCAUUUGAUUGAUAAUUUUGAAAGAGAAAUCGAGGGUUUUGACUAAACUUUCAUAAUGUGAAUUUUUGAGUUUUGAAUAUCGAUUCCGAGCCAGAUUUUGAGUGAAACUAGUAUAGCUGGAUUCAUAAUUGAAUAUGUCAUUGGAUUUUGUGAGUUUUGUCGGGUUCCGAGGUGUAGGCUCUGUUUUGACUUUUUGGUUAACUUUGGGCUUUUUAUUUUUGAGAUACCACCAAUAUCAUUUGGGAUUGUUUCUUUAUGCAUUAUUUGAUGUAGUUGAGUUUCUUUUGGCUAGUUUCGAGCCGUUCGGAGGUUGAUAUGCGUGGGAUGGCAUUCCUAGAGUAUGGGUUGGCUUGCUCGGUAUUGGAUUUGGCUUGCUCGAGGUAAGAAACAUAUCUAAACUUAAAUUUGAGGGUAUUUAACCAUGGAAACUGUGUUAUAAGAGAUGUAUUGAGGUAACACACAUGCUAGGUGACGAGCGUGCGGACAUGCACUGAGGAAAUCAUGAUUCUAGUCGACUAUUACACUAUGAUCAGACUUGUUUUGCUGUUAUAUCUUGUUACCUCCAUGUUAUCCCUACUUGAUUGAUUAUAUGAGCUGUGAAUCAUGUUAGAAAUCAUGUUUAGGCUACAUGCUUAUUCUGUUGAGACCCACCGAGGUCAUUUCUGCUGUUGAGUUAUUUGCUUAAAUUACAGUUAUGUACUCAGUCAUAUCUAUUCAUUUGCAUAUCAUAUCUCAGUCUUUGUUAUCAAUUGUUGUCACAUCAUGUUAUCAUUGUUUGGGUUGAUUGGCAUGAGAUUUGUUAGCCCGAGAGACUGGAGAGAUUGAUGACUGAGUUGGGGCCUGAGGGUCGUGUUAUGAGAGAUAUUGUGGAUUGGGCUGCAUGCCGCAACCGGCAAUAUUGGCUUUAUAUAUAUUAUUAUUGAUGGGAUCGAGCUGCACGCUGCAAUAGGUUUUAUUGAUUCAUGAUGGGAUCGGGCUGCACGGCGCAACAGACCAUGAUGGCUUAUUUUAGCGCUUGGGCAAGAUCCGCCCAUCCGGAGUUUGACAUACUAGCAGUGAGUGCAUGUACCGAGUGCCGAGUGAUUGAGUGCCGAGUGCUGAGUGAUUUGAGUGUUGUCGCGCCCCCUUUUUCUAGAGCGAAAUUGGGUUUAUGACAUUUGGAAGGACAACUCGUUCCUUUUGGGAACGGGUUUGAAUUUAAAUAGUCUCCACCUAAUGAUUAGGGUGCAUUAGGACACCAAAAGAGUUUGAUUUUGAAAAACCAGAGAUAGGGUAAGGGCUUGAAAUUAUUCCAAGCCCUUAGGUAUUAGGCACCCCUCAGAAUCCACUAGUGUGGUUCCCGGCCAGACAAUUAUUGUGAAUUUGGGGUACAAUUAACAUGUAGACAAAUAAAGCUCAGAUAGGAGGGGAUUUCACAUAUAAAAGUUUGAAAAUAGACAAAGUUUAAAGAGCAGUUUGAGGAAGCGGAUUCUAGAAUGAAAAUGUUAAAGAAAUAAGAGUAAAGGAAAGGGGGGGGGGGUCCUAGGUUUACUAAAAAUAUGGAUCACCCGACACAACGUCCGGUAAUCACUCCUCAAUGAGGGGCUACACGUGACGUUAUCGCGCGGUCAUCAUAUCCAUAUCUACCCUUCCCACCCUGUUAAGGUAUUUAAAGCGCGGGUUAGUCUCGAUUACUUAUUGCAUGCUAUUACUUGUCCCAUUCCUAUCAGUCCUGGAGGCACUUAGGACUACUAAUCCUAAAAGGUUUCUGAGUAGGAUUUGCAAGUUCUGAGUAUUCUCCUUUCGCCAAGUAUUCCUUGAUAUCAUGAAACCAAGGUUUUUCGUCUGCCUCUUCUUCAACAUGCGCACAAUAAGCAGGCUGAUCAUGGAUCUUUAUUGGAAUGGGAUCAAUGAAGUUCUUGUCUGGAUGUUGUAUCAUGGAUGAUAAGGUAGCCAAUGCAUCGGCAAACUCAUUCUGAACCCUGGGAACAUGUUGGAAUUCUGUCUUUACGAACCUCUUUCUCAAUUCAUGUACAUAAUGCAGAUACGGAAGUAUCUUGGAGUUCUUGGUUGCCCAUUCUUCCCAGACCUGAUUUAUAAGUAGGUCUGAAUCUCUGAUCAUUAGAAACUCUUGAAUGUUCAUGUCAACGGCCAUUUUGAGCCCUCGGAUGCAGGCUUCAUACUCGGCCAUGUUGUUGGUGCAGGGAAACCUGAGCUUGGUGGACACCGGAUAAUGCUGACAGGUUUCUGAUACAAGGACUGCUCCUAUGCCAACUCCUUUGAAAUUUGCUGCUCCAUCGAAAAACAUUCUCCAACUGUCAUAGGAUUCUGCAAUGUCUUCUCCAAUGAACAAUACCUCUUCAUCAAGAAAAUACAUUUUUAGGGGUUCAUAUUCUCCGUCCACGGGGUUUUAAGCAAGGUGAUCUGCUAGUGCCUGUCUCUUGAUUGCCUUCUGAGUGACGUAAACAAUGUCAAACUCACUCAACAGGAUUUGCCACUUGGCUAGCUUGCUAGUGGGCAUGGGCUUCUGAAAGAUGUACUUCAAAAGAUCCAUCCUUGAUCUGAGAUAUGUAGUAUAGGCACNNNNNNNNNNNNNNNNNNNNNNNNNCUUCUUACUGAGGUAAUAGACUGGCCUGCUCCUUCCCUCCCUCCCCUCCCCGUUUUGUCAUGAUACCCUAGAACGCAACUGAAAGCUCCAUCCAAUACUGCAAGGUAGAGUAAUAAGGGUCUACCCGGCUCAGGCGGGACUAAAACUGGUGGUGUUGACAGGUAUUCCUUGAUCCUGUCGAAAGCUUUUUGGCAGUCAUCAGUCCAUUUGGUAGCGGUGUCUUUCUUCAAUAUCUUAAAGAUUGGCUCACUGAUAAUUGUAGACUGUGCUAUGAACCGACCGAUGUAGUUAAGCCUUCCCAAGAAACUCAUCACAUCCUUCUUGUUCUUUGGCGGUGGUAGUUCUUGAAUGGCUUUGACUUUGAUGGAUCUAGUUCUAUUCCUCGGCGACUCCCAAUAAACCCAAGUAAUUUUCCAACAGGAACCCCAAAUGCGCACUUUGCGGGAUUCAGUUUUAGGUUGUACCUUCUUAGUCUAUUGAUGAACUUCCUCAAAUCUUCCAUGUGAUCGGUAGCUUUCUUGGACUUGAUGAUGGCAUCAUCUACAUAUACCUCAAUCUCUUUGUGUAUCAUAUCGUGGAAAAUGGUGGUCAUGGCCCUCAUGUAGGUGGCCCCUGCAUUCUUCAACCCAAACGACAUCAUCUUGUAACAAUACAUUCCCCAUGGCGUAAUAAAAGCUGUUUUCUCAGCAUCUUCUUCAUCCAUCCAGAGAUCUGAUGAUAACCCGUGAAACAAUCUACAAAUGAUUGCAACUCAUUCUUGGCGCAAUUGUUGAUCAGGAUGUGUAUGUUUGGCAAAGGGAAGUCGUCUUUUGGACUGGCCCGAUUGAGAUCCCGGUAGUUGACACAGACUCUGACCUUCCCAUCCUUCUUUGGCACCGGUACAAUGUUGGCUAACCAUGUCGGGUAUUCUACUACCCUGAGAACCUUAGCUUUGACAUGCUUAGUGACUUUUUUUUGAUUUUCCAACUCAUAUCAGGCUUGAACUUUCUGAACUUUUGCUUUACCGGCGGACAUGUUGGAUCGGUUGGCAGUUUGUGAGCCACAAUAGAUGUACUCAGACCAGUCAUGUCAUCAUACGACCAGGCGAAUAUGUCCUCAUAUUCUCUUAGAAAUUCUGUGUUUUCCUUCUUUUCUGACGGCGAUAAGUGAACGCUGAUUCGUGUUUCUUUGACGUUUUCUGCAUCUCCCAGGUUGAUAAUCUCAGUUUCGUCCAGGUUAGACUUCGGUCUAUUUUCAAAAUUCUCAACAUCUUUAACAAUCUUUUCUAGUAUGUCAUCUUCCUCUGAAUCUAUGUCCAUUUGUUGCGUUGUCUCGUUGCAUGUCACAGUCAUUGGUUCACCAAAAUAAGUAAUAGUAAUGAUGUAUAAGUAAACUAAUGAGAGAAAAAUAAUAAUGUGCGUCGAUUCAUAAGAUAAAAAAUGCUUUGAUAAAUUGCAUAAUCGUUUUGAACAUUGGAGAUCUUAUUGCGGGAAUUGAAAAUAUGCGAAAAAUAAAAUCUUUUAGUAAAGAAGACAAUGCUUGUUUUAGCCUUGCUACCCCGAGGCUCAUCGGGCUCUGGUUGUCCUGAUGGUCCAGUUAUUGAGGCAUGCCCCUCUACUUACAGCCUGUAUGGAAGGGCCUUCCUCCCCCUCUUCCUCGAGAACAACACAACAGUCCAUAUCAUUGUCUUCUAGGAACAAGUUCUUCACCGUUGCAAGUGCUUCUUCUUCAUCUGAUCCAUAAAUAAUGUCAGCCUGUUGGAAAGUCUGCUCCAGAUGCGGUAUUGGCUGCUCUAGUGGAUAAUAAGGACCACGCCAUGGUGGCGACCGAAUUCCUCCCAAGUGUAUCCAUAUCCUAAACCGAAGGUAGUGCCAUGUUUCUUGAGUUUUAUGGGUUUAGAGAUUCCUUGAAGGUUCUUGCCAAGCCCUUUGUUCUUGCCUUUAAUGGGACUAAGAGGAGGAGUGGGUGGAGGGCCCCUGGAUCUCGUGGAAUAGGAUAAUGUUGCCAGAGUGCACGAACUAACCUUUGGGGAGGGGAAUAAUAAAACAAAAAGUAAAAACAAAAAGGUAACCAAGUUAGUGAGGUUUAUAAAAAGUAUUGCAAUAUUUAAACACAUAGUGCAAGAAUGUAAAGCAUGUCCUAAUUUGGGAACCUCUUAGUGCCCGAGUUAGGCCUAGCGACAAAUUGAUUUGGAGAACUUAGGAUGCUAAAUGCCUCAUUUCAUUGAUAAAAAGUAGACGAAUCCCAAAAUGACACUAAAUAAACAGGAAAUGAAAAUUACUAAUGGCCAUUGGCCUUAUUACAUUUUAUAAAGCGAAAAGAAAAACUCCUAUCUACUUGGUCCCAGAAGGACCUUCCUCAGGUUGAAUGCUCUCGUUGAUCAAAUCCUCCAGUUCACUUAGGUUCACCAGUAAAAAUGUCUUUGCCAGGUGUUCUCCUUCGUUUCCCUUAGCGUUCUGGCAGUCGGUGACUCUCUUCCUCACUUUUCCUUCUAAUUCCAGCAGACUGUAUUCCAGAUAUUCCAACUUUUCGCUAGCUCUGGCGACCCUCUCUUUCCACUCAUUGAUUUGGUCAUCUGAUGGAAGACUCCUCCAACAGUCUAGCUAGAGUGGGGGCGUGCUAACCAUACCGAAAUUAGGGACCUCGUUCUUCAUUUUCUACAAAACAAAAGGGUUAAGACCAUACCCCUACCAAACUCGACUAUUUAAUAUCAACAAUUAGCAUGAAGCCUUUAGUUCUGCAAAUAUAUGCACAGAACGUGAUGAUAUCCGUUUGGGUUUAGGGAAACCCAGUGGACUUUGGACAAGACUAUCUUAAAGGAUCAUUAUGUGGACAACAUAACUGACCCAGCUAGGUUUGGCCAUGAUGCAUGCGUAAUUUAAAUAGAGUAAUGUUUCUAUGGGGUUUUAGACUGGUACCCUUGAGCGGACAACUCAAGGGGGAAAGGCACAGAACCGUCGACUACACCGUUGAUCGACUGGUUUUACCGCAAAUAUGCCUUUUUCGGAUUUAGGGGGUAAUAAUAUAGGAAGAUCACAACCACUCAUUAUAAGCGUUGCUAUGGUAUUUAUUUCCCACGAGUGAAGUAUGAUGUUGAGCAUGAUCAUGCAAUAAUUAAAAGCAUGUUGUCACGUAAUUUCACGUUAAGAUAGUAGUAAAUACAGCAACUUCAUAAUUUAAAGUAGUAGUAAGGAAAGAAACAAAGAAGACAAGUCAGUUUUGCAGUUGAAAAGGGAAUUGAAUGCUUAAAAGAAUUAAACAAGUAAUUGCACAUAAUGAGUUAUGAAUCCACAAUAAUAGUCUGAAAUGGUAAAAGCCUAAAUAUCCCCAGCAGAGUCGCCACGCUGACGCGCUCCCUUUUUCUAGAGCGAAAUCGGGUUUAUGAUAUUUGGAAGGACAACUCAUUCCUUUUGGGAACUGGGUUUGAAUUUGAAGAGUCUUCACCUAAUGAUUAUGGUGCAUUAGGACACCCUAACCCGACUCAUUUAUCACUUUCGACGCCCUUGAAUCCCUCGUCUCCCUAUUCUCUCAUAGACUCGCCCAAACCCUAGCGUCGUCACCUAAAAUCUACCCUAAAUCCCUUCGAUUCCUACCUAUUCCAUGAGAUUCCAUGGUGAUUUGAUUCCCUACCGGCCUCUUACCUCUCCUGGUUAUUCGACCCUUUUGUUGCAUGAAGGGAUCUUGAAAGGAUCCAACUCAUAUUUUGUUCAAAGACCGUUCAAAGGUCUACCUAUGGCCAUUAUCGUUUGUGAUUGCUAUUUCUUCCUAUUUUCAAUACGAAUCUAUGACUUUGGACCAAGUCUCUUUCACAUCUGUUAUAUUCAAAACCCUAAUCUCAUGGCUAAUUGGGUCUGUUCAGAUCUUUGUAGAUUUGAAACGUUUUGAACAUUAUUUGGUAUUUUCUUCGGAAAAAAUUUCUAUUUUCCUUAUCAUUAUUCAAUUUCAGUGACUUCUCAGAGCUAGGGUUUGUCCUAAGUUCUCUUCAAAUGAUUUUUUCUUAAUUUUCAAGUGUUAAACCUGAUUAUUCCUUUACUGGUUGGGCCGAUUUUCAUGUAUAUGCUUAAACCCUAGGUACUUCUGUUUAUGGCACUAAUUUCUUCAAAUUUUCUUCCGUUAUCUAUUUAUUUUUGUCAAUUAAUCAUCAUGGAUGAUUUUAUUAGUCAUUUGAAUCAUAUUUUCCCGUUCAAAUUAGUAUUUCUUUGUGAUUUUCUUGUUUACCUUAUUCGUGACUUUAAUUAGUACAAUUUUCCUUAAUUAGACUAUUAUUCUGAUUCAGAAGUUUUAUAUGGUAUGAUUGAUUCUCUUACCUUAUUUGAGCCCUAAUUUGUACCAUUGAUUGGCUCUCCCUAUUCUAAAGGGUCUUUCCCAGAUUCUUCUGCAUGAUUUGAUUGGUUAAAUCCCCAAUUAACUGGUUGAUUUAUUCGAUUACCCUUGUCUUAUGAACUGACAUAUCCUUACCUUAUUUGUUCUUACCUCACUAAGUGCUAUAUAUACUCUCAUUCUGAUUCUCCUAAACAAAAACAGUAGUUCAGAAUACACACACAUACAUUCAAGCUCUCUCUUCUUUCUUUGCUAUUUGUGCUAAUUGUGGGUCUAGCCGGUUGAAAGCCAAGGCUAGAUAGUAGCAGGUUGAAAGCCAAGCCAUAGGUGAGUAUGGCGUCUGAUUUCAUGGACUGAUUCAGGUUCAAUACAGAAAAUGCACCAGAUGUUUUCUACAUUCAAAUCCUUAAGAAGAAGCCCACCGAGACUUUCCGCGAGUAUGCUACUCGUUGGAGGUCGAAAGCAGCCAAAGUCAGGCUAGCUUUGGAUGAAGAACAGAUGAACAAAUUCUUCAUUAGAGCACAUGAUCCGCAAUACUAUGAAAGGUUGAUGGUUAUUGAAAACCAUAAAUUCUCUGAUAUCAUCAAACUUGGUGAAAGGAUCGAAGAAGGCAUCAAAAGCGGGAUGGUAACAAACUUUGAGGCACUACAGGCCACAAACAAAGUAUUACAAUCAGGAGGCAUAUCGAUAAAAAAAGACGUCGAGGCAGUAAUGGUGGCUCAGGGCCUAAAAUCUCAACUCACAUACCAAACACCUCCACCCACAUACCAAACACCUCCACCUACAUAUCAACCCUCAUCUCCCAGAUAUCCCCAACCAACCAUUGUCUAUCACACCUAUAAUUCUCAACCAUCUCAAUUCCAAUCUCCUCCAACUCGCCAAAAUUAUCCAAGACCACGACCCAAUUUUGAUCGCAAACCACCCAGACAAUACACAGCCAUUGAUGAACCCAUCGACCAGCUGUAUGAAAGGUUAAAGGCCGCUGGUUACGUCACUCUUAUUCCUGCUGUGGCAGUGGAGAACUCAUCCCAAUGGGUCAACCCAAACAAAACAUGUGCAUACCAUUCUAGUAUGAAGGGGCACAUCAUUGACGAGUGCCUAACAUUGAAUGAUAAAAUCCAGACACUGAUUGACAACAAGGUCAUACAUGCGAAAGAAGCUACACCCAAUAUCCGCAAUAAUCCUCUCCUGAAUCAUAGGGGCGGUGGAAUACAUGUGAUCGGGAUGGAUGAAGAAUGAGAUCCUAAGGGGUCAAUCGGGCUUAUUCGAGAAGGCGAUGACUUUAAACGCGCAGUCACACUUACUCCUUUUGUAGUACAGACUCAGUCACCAGUCAAGGUUGAGGUAGCUGCAUCGGUUCCAUUUGAGGUAGAGGUAGCUCCAUCUACAGCCACCCCUGUUCCAUUUGAAGUAGAAGUGGCCACAACUUUCACAGUGACAGUAUCAACCACACCUCCUUUCGAUUCAAAAGCAAUACCCUGGGAUUACGUUGUCGAAGCUAAUCGAAAAGGAAAGGCAAAGAUGAAAGAAUCUGAUGUUGCAUAAGGAAUGACCAGGACUGGAAGAAUCUAUACACCUGAACACUUGGGAGGACCAAGUAAGGAUGCCACUACCAAGCAACAUGUCAUUGAAACAGGUCAGAUGACCUUUGGAGGAAAGUACAAGCGAGGGAAUACUCCCUCAUUGAUCAUUUGAGCAAAACCCCAGCUCAGAUAUACAUUCUAUCACUGUUGCAAAAUUCAGAGGCGCACAAAAAUGCUUUGAUGAAGGUGUUAAGUGGAGCUUAUGUACCCAACAAUAUCACCUGCAGAGAGAUGGCCAACAUGGUAGGACAGGUGCUGGAAAGUCAUAAAAUAAUCUUCCACGAGGACGAACUACCGCCUGAAGGGUUGAAUCAUAACCAAGCAUUGCAUAUCACGGUAUAAUUUGAAGACAAAUUCAUUGCCAGAGUUCUGAUUGAUAGAGGUUCAAAACUCUAUAUUUGUCCGUUGGAUACUCUUAAAAGAUUGUUCAAAGGUUUCCAUGAAAUACGGGCAGGAAGCAUGAACGUGAAAGCCUUUGAUAGGUCUCAAAGGGCCAUGAUUGGGGAGAUUAGUGUUUGUCUGCAGAUGGGGCACACUUGGUUCGACGCUGAAUUCCAAGUGCUUGACAUAUCAAUUUCAUAAAAUCUUGUGUUGGGCCGACCGUAGAUAUAUGCCGCUGUGGCUGUGGCUUCCACACUACACCAGGCCAUGAAGUUCGAAUGUAACCAUUAGGGGGUGAACUUUCACGAGGACGGGAGUAACUCCAUUUACACCAAUCAAACCAUCCCAGCUAUCGGGAACAGAAGAAGGCUAGGAGGGGAAACCUAUCAUCACAUCGAACGCGUCAAUGCCGUUGAGAAAGACAAAUGGUGGAGUAACAAAAUAGAAAUCAUACUAGCAUGGUCUGGGUAUGAACCCGGCAAAGGGCUUGGGAAGAAUCUCCAAGGCAUCACCAAACCAAUACAGCUAAAACGUCAUGGUCCUACCUUCGGGCUCGGAUACCAGUAUACAUGGCAAGAGUAUGAUGACUGGUCGCCUCCAUGGCGUGGAUCUUAUUAUCCUCUCGAGCAACUAGUGCCAUAUCUGGGUCAGACUUUUCACCAAGCUGAUACAAUAUUGGGAACUGCAGAAGAAGAAUUGUUAGCUGGGCUGAGGAAUCUGUUCCUGGAGGACGAAGACAUGGAUUGCAGUGCAAUAAUUGAGGAGGAGGAAGAAGGCCUCACUAUUCAGACUGUGGAGAAGGGAGUUGUUCUCACGAACUGGACUGCCACACCAUCCCGGGCCCGCCGAGUCCCGGGAUUACUUGGCAAUCAACUUAAUUUUAUUUCUAUAGCCAUGCUAGGCAUCUAAGAUAUUUUCAGUAAUUUUGUUUUAAAGAAUCACUUGUUUCAAAAUAAUUGCUCGAUUCAUCGAACCGUACUUGUUUUGGGUGUUUUCAGUUUUAAUCAAUGCAUUGCUAUUUACUAUUCAUUAUUAUCUUCCACACUUUUCUUUCUACAACGUUAUUAUUACUUUUCCUGAUGAACCAGUGACUGUGAUAUGUAAUGAGGCAACGCAAUGUAAGGAUAGCGACUCGGAUGAAGAAGAUGAAAUAGUUGAGGAGAUUGUCAGAGAGGUUGAGAACUUUGAAAAUAAGCCUAAGUCCAACCUGGACGAAACUGAAGCAGUAAAUUUGGGAGACGCCGAAACCGUCAAGAAGACUCACAUAAGCAUUCACUUAUCACCGAUAGAGAAGGAGGAGUACAUUCGUUUCUUGAAGGAGUAUGAGGAUAUCUUUGCAUGGUCAUAUGAUGACAUGACCAGUUUGAGCACGUCCAUAGUGACUCACAAGUUGCUUACCAAUCCCAUGUGUCCGUCGGUGAAGCAGAAACUCAGAAAAUUUAAACCAAAUAUGAGCCUGAAAAUCAAGGAGGAAGUUAGUACGCAGAUCAAAGCCAAAGUCCUCAAGGUAGUUGAAUACCCAACCUGGUUAGCCAACAUUGUAUCAGUUCCGAAGAAAUAUGGAAAAGUCAAAGUAUGUGUUGACUAUCGAGACUUAAACAGAGCAAGUCCCAAGGACGACUUUCCACUGCCAAAUAUACACAUCCUGAUUGAUAAUUACGCCAAGCAUGAACUCCAAUUCUUUGUAGAUUGCUUCGCGGGUAUACAAGGUUGCUGCUACUCCUUAUGUUUGGAGGGGACUUGUUCCCGAACACUUCGGGGAACCUAGUCAGCUUGAGAUUUCUUCAUCAUUUUGAGCAUCUAGAUGAUUUACCCCCGUACAGUUGGGGUGCUGCUGUUCUCGCCUACUUGUACAAGAAGAUGUGUCGGGCGAGCAUGGGCACCCAGCAUGACGUUGCUGGAUUUUUACCGCUACUACAAAUGACAACAUAUUCGAAUACUCUAUUCAUUUUAACAUGCCUAAUAAAAAUGUAUUUUAAAUUUUACGUCAACUUUUUAUGUUAGGUUUGGGCCUGGGAGCAGUUUCUACAAUUGCAGCCACCUCUACCACUAUUAUAUCUGGGUGUACCACCAGCGUUGCUCCCUCUAGCUAGGAGGUGGGUUCUCCGGCAGGGACAUACGCGCGAGUACGAGGCUCAGCAUAGUCUCUCCUUGUGCAGGGAUAUUUUGGAUUUGCUGGAUGGCGCAUAGGUAAAUGUAUAUCUAAGUUUACUUUUCAUAGAUUCAAAUACAAGUUGCGUAUACUGAUGUUUUCUGUUCUUACUUAAUAGUUCAUCUGGACGUCAUACAUCGACGUAUUGAUAGUUGGCUUGCCCAGUUAUUGCUCGGCCGGCCGGCUUAUGUGGGGCUCUUCUGUCCCAUUGAUCUGCCUUGAUAUAGUGGAGCAUCAUGCCACCAAGCGGGUAUUUCGCCAAUUUGGCAGUUCACAGCUCGUAUCAGUCACGACCCUAAACUCGGACCCGGUCAUGAUGGCGCCUCUCGUGAAGACAAGGCGAGCCGAAACAUUCCCAUUUUAUUUUAAGCAAUUAAAUAAUAAGUAAUUAGUCUUAAACAUGAUAAAAUUCCAAAAUAAGCAGUGAAUAGUGCAAUUUGCGGAAUUAAAACCAACACAGCCCGACAUUGGGUGUCACUAGUCAUGAGCAUCAAACAAUGUACUACAAGUAUGAAGAGUCUAUCAAGCUAUUACAGAAUCACUAACAAGAGAAAGGAAAUGAGAUAAAGGGGGAGAAGCACGGGGCUGCGAACGGAGAGCAGCUAUCUCGUGAACUCCGAACCCUACCGGGAGCACUCAACCCUCGCAAGCAGGAUCAGCAGCGCCUGAAUCUGAACACCGGGUGCAGGGAGUAAAGUGAGUACUCCAACUCAGUGAGUAAUAAUCAUAAAUAAAGACUGAGAAGUAAAAAAUCACGUAAACAUCACAGGCUAUAAGAAAGCAGUAAAAGCCAGUAAAAGUCAUGAAACCGUGAAAUUAUGCAAAGUCACUUUAGUUUAGUUUAAACUUCUUAAAAUCCCUUUUUAAACAGUUAAACAAGUAAAAGACACGUAACUAGAAAAGGUAAAUACAUAAAGAAAUGCCCCUCGGGCACAAUACCAACAGAAUCAGCCCCUCGGGCAACACAUGGAACAAUAACCAGCCCCUCGGGAUAUAUCUCACAUCACAAUGGGUACCCGUGCUCACUAGGGGUGUGCAGACUCGUGGAGGAGCCCCUUACGGCCCAAGCGCAAUAUCAUGCCAACUCGUGGCAUCAUCACUAGGCUCUCGGCCUCAUAUCAACAAGCCACCUCGCGGCGUACAAAUCUCAGGCCCUCGACCUAACUCAGUUAGAAUCUCAUAAGCUACUCGGGCAACAGUAAAACAUGGUGCUCAGCCCAAAAUAUCAUUUAAAAUCUCAUUUAUGUGUUAAAGCAGAGUAAACAUGACUGAGUUAUGAAAACAGUAGAAUAUAGCAUGACUGAGUUCAAGUAUAAAGUCAAAACAGUAAGGAAAUAUCAAUAAAAAUCCCCUAAGGGUUCAAAUAGUUGGCAUGAGGCCCAAAUAUGGCAUUCACCCCAAAACAUGAUGAUAGCAAAUAGCUUUCAGUCAAAUAUGCGGUAAAACAAUCAUUCGGGAUGGACUAAGUCACAAUCCCUAACAGUGCACGACCUCACGCUCGUCAUCUAGGGUGUGCGCCACCUCAAUAUAGCACAACGAUGUGCAAUUCGGGGUUUCAUACCCUCAAGACAAUAUUUACAAUCAUUACUCACCUCUACCUAAUCCUAAUCUCUAGCUUGCGAUGCCUUUGCCCCUCGAAUCGGCUUAUGGAUGCUCCAAAUCUAACAAAAAUCAGUGCAAAACCAUCAAAAUAUGCUAAAGGAACAAAGCCCACUCGAAAGAAAUUAAAUUACAACACAAAUCCCAAAAUUGGCCAAACCCGACUCCCGGGCCCACGUCUCGGAUUCUGAUAAAAUUUACAUCAAUAGACUCCUUAUCACUCCCCGAGUUCAUUCAUACCAAAAGCAUCAAAAUCCAAUCACAAACGACCCCUCAAAUCCCAAAUUCUAGGUUUCCAAUUUCAAGCCCUAGUUCUUCAAUUUUAGGUUUAAUUUCCAUGAUUAAUUAGGUAGAAUUCACUUUAGAAUCGAGUAUUAAGUCCAUGAAUCUUACCUCCAAGAGUUUCCCCUUGAAUCCCUCUUCAAUGCUCUUCAAAAAGGUCCAAAAUCGCUCAAAAUGGUGGAAAUAAACCCCAAAAUCGCGGACAAGAUGACUAUUUAAACAUUCUGCCCAUGCCUCAAUUUCUUCUUCGCGAAUGCGGUCAACGCCUCGCGUUCGCGAAGCACAAACAUACUUUGACCAGAAAAAUCCUCUACGCGAACGCAACCAGCCGCGAACACGAUGGCUCCUCAGCUUGACCCUUCGCGGUCGCGCUCCCUCUCUCGCGAACGUGAUGAACAAAAUACCUUGAAACCCAGCUGCUCAAUUCCCUCUAUGUGAACUCGACUCCACCUCGCGAACGCGAUGCCCCUCAUUCCAUCCCUUUGCGAACACGGAUCCUUUCUCGCGAACGCGAAGGCUAAAUCAUCUGCCUCCUCAACUAACUCUUCGCGAACGCGAACCUACUCGCGAACGCGAAGGCCAUUUCUCUGCAACGCUGAUCAGCAAUUUUCUGCAAUUCUCAACAACAUGAAAUGGUCCGAUUGACCACCUGAAACUCACCUGAGGCCCCCAGGAACUCAACCAAACAUGCCAACAUAUAUAACAUCAUUCAAACUUGCUCCAAUCUUCAGAACGCUCAAAACAACAUCAAAACACCAAAUUCGCAUCGGAUUCAAGCCUAAGAAUUUCAAAAUCUUCUAAAUUAUGAUUUUGAUAAAAAAACCCAACCAAACCACGUCCGAAUGAUCGAAAAUUUUGCACACACAUCCCAAAUGACACAACGGAACUAUUGCAACUCUCGGAAUUCCAUUACAACUCUUAUAUCAAAAUCUCACCUAUCAACCGAAAAAUGCCAAAAAUCCAAUUUUGUCAAUUCAAUCCUAAAUCUACUCCGGACCUCCAAAACACAUUCCGAUCACGCUCCUAAGUCCCAAAUCACCUCCCAAAGUUAUCUGAACCAUCAGAACUCAUAUCCGAGCCCUUUAACAUAUAAGUCAACAUCCACUUAACUUUUUCAACUUAAGCUUCCUCAAAAGAGACUAAGUGUCUCAAGCCUUACCAAAUCCUUUUCGAACCCGAGACAACCAACCCGAUCACAUAUAGAACCAAUAGACAAAGCAAUAAGAAGCAGAAAUGGGGAAAACAGAGCGGUAACUCAUGAGACGACUAGAUGGGUUGUCACAUCCUCCCCCUCUUAAACAAAUGUUCGUCCUUGAACGAGUCAAGAAACAUACCUGAAGCCUCAAAUAGGUGAGGACAUCUGCUCCACAUCUCUCUCUCGGUCUCCUAGUAGCCUCCUCCACGGGCCAACCUCUCCACUGCACUUUCACUGAAGUUAUAUCCUUUGAUCUCAACUUUCGAACCUGACACUCCAAGAUAGCUGUUGGCUCCACAUCAUAAGUCAGCUGCUGGCUCCACAUCAUAAGUCAAAUCAUCAUCCAACUGAACCGUGCUGAAAUACAGCAUAACUCUUUUGUCUCGACUGUGCUGUACGAAGCCUCUCCUGAAUUACCUUCACCUUCUCUAAAGCAUCCUACACCAAGUCAGUCCCCAAUAGCCUAGCCUCACCUGGAUCAAACCAACCAACUGGAGAUCUACACCGCCUCCCAUACAANNNNNNNNNNNNNNNNNNNNNNNNNNNNNNNNNNNNNNNNNNNNNNNNNNNNNNNNNNNNNNNNNNNNNNNNNNNNNNNNNNNNNNNNNNNNNNNNNNNNNNNNNNNNNNNNNNNNNNNNNNNNNNNNNNNNNNNNNNNNNNNNNNNNNNNNNNNNNNNNNNNNNNNNNNNNNNNNNNNNNNNNNNNNNNNNNNNNNNNNNNNNNNNNNNNNNNNNNNNNNNNNNNNNNNNNNNNNNNNNNNNNNNNNNNNNNNNNNNNNNNNNNNNNNNNNNNNNNNNNNNNNNNNNNNNNNNNNNNNNNNNNNNNNNNNNNNNNNNNNNNNNNNNNNNNNNNNNNNNNNNNNNNNNNNNNNNNNNNNNNNNNNNNNNNNNNNNNNNNNNNNNNNNNNNNNNNNNNNNNNNNNNNNNNNNNNNNNNNNNNNNNNNNNNNNNNNNNNNNNNNNNNNNNNNNNNNNNNNNNNNNNNNNNNNNNNNNNNNNNNNNNNNNNNNNNNNNNNNNNNNNNNNNNNNNNNNNNNNNNNNNNNNAACUCAACCUGAGUACCCAACUCUCGCUGCACCGACCUCCAAAACUCUGAAGUAAACUGAGUGCCCCUAUCUGAGAUGAUGGAAACUGGGACACCAUGCAAAUGAACAAUCUCUCGGAUAUAGAUCUCUGCCAACCGCUCUGAAAAAUAGGUAGUACACACAGGAAUGAUGUGCACAUACUUGGUCAACCGAUCCACAAUCACCCAAAUAACAUCGAACUUCUUCAAAGUCCGUGUGAGCCCAACUACAAAGUCUAUGGUGAUCUGCUCCCACUUCCACUCUGGAAUAUCCAUCCGCUGAAGCAAGCCACCAGGUCUCAGAUGCUCAUAUUUCACCUGCUAACAGUUGAGACACCGAGCUACAAAUCCCACAAUAUCCUUCUUCAUUCUUCUCCACCAAUAAUGCUGCCUCAAAUCCUGAUACAUCUUCGCGGCACCCGGAUGAAUGGAAUAUUUUGAGUCAUGGGCCUCCUCCAGAAUCAACUCCCGAAGCCCAUCCACAUUGGGCAUACAUAUCCGGCCCUGCAUCCUUAACACCCUAUCAUCACCAAUAGUCACAUCUCUGGCAUCAUCGUGCUGAACUCUAUCCUUAAGGACAAGCAAAUGCAAAUCAUCAUACUGGCGCUCUCUGAUGCGAUCAUAUAAGGAAGACCGAGAAACCACACAAGCUAAUACCCAACUGGGCUCUAAAAUAUUUGACCUCACGAACCGAUUGGCCAAGGCCUGAACAUCAACUGCAAGAGGUCUCACCCCAACUGGAAUAUAUGCCAAACUUCCCAUACUCACCGCCUUUUGGCUCAAAGCAUAGGCCACCACAUUGGCCUUCCCCGGAUGAUACAAUAUAGUAAUAUCAUAAUCCUUUAGCAACUCCAACCACCUCCGCUGCCUCAAAUUAAGAUCCUUCUGCUUGGACAAGUGCUGGAGGCUACGAUGAUCAGUAAACACCUCACAAGACACACCAUACAAGUAAUGCCUCCAAAUCUUCAACGCGUGCACAAUGGCAGCCAACUCCAAAUCAUGAACGGGGUAGUUCUUCUCAUGGUGCUUCAACUGACGAGAAGCAUAAGCAAUAACUCUACCCUCCUGUAUUAAUACAGACCUAAUACCAACCCUUGAAGUAUCAUAAUACACUGUAUAUGAACCUGAAGCUGAUGGCAAAACUAACACUGGAGCUGUAGUCAAGGCUGUCUUAAGCUUCUGAAAGCUCUCCCGACCAUGCAAAUGAAGCACCCUUUUGAGUCAACUUGGUCAAGGGCGAUGCAAUGGAUGAGAACCCAUGAACAAACCGGCGAUAGAAGCCUGCCAAACCAAGAAAGCUACGAAUCUUUGUGGCUGAGGACGGUCUGGGCCAACUCUAAACUACCUCUAUCUUCUUCGGAUCAACCUGAAUACACUCGCUGGACACCCCGUGCCCCAUGAAAGCCACUGAAUUGAGCCAAACUCACACUUGGAGAAUUUUGCAUAAAGCUUCUCCUCCCUCAAUCUCUACAACACAACUCUCAAAUGCUCUGUGUGCUCCUCCUGACUAUGCAAAUAUACCAGAAUAUCAUCAAUGAAGACUAUGACAAAUGAGUCGAGAUAAGGCCGGAACACACUAUUCAUCAAAUGCAAGAAUGUUGUUGGGGCAUUAGUCAGCCCAAAAGACAUCACCAAGAUAUCAUAAUGACCAUAUCGGGUUCUAAAAGCUGUUUUAAGAAUAUCCGAGUCCCUGAUUUUCAACUGGUGAUAACCUGAACGGAGAUCAAUCUUGGAGAACACUCUCGCUCCCUAAAGUUAGUCGAAUAAAUCAUCAAUGCGAGGCAAAGGCUACUUGUUCUUAACUGUUACUUUGUUCAACUGCCUAUCAAUGCAUAUCCUCAUAGUGUCAUCCUUCUUCUUCACAAAUAGAACCGGCGCACCCCAAGGUGACACACUAGAUCGAAUGAACCCCUUAUCAAGGAGUUCCUAAAACUGCUCCUUUAACUCCUUCAACUUCGCUGGUGCUAUAUGAUACGACGGAAUAGAAAUGGGUUGAGUGCCCAGUACCAGGUCAAUACCAAAGUUAAUAUCCCUGUCCGAUGGCAUGCCUGACAGGUAUGCAGAAAACACAUUGGGAAAAUCCCUCACAAUUGGAACAAAAUCAAUACUGGGAAUUUCUGCACCGAUAUCCCUCACAAAGGCUAGAUACGAAAGACAACCCUUCCCAACUAUAUGCUGGGCCUUCAGGAAUGAGAUCACUCUACUGGGAACAUAAUUAGUCAAACCUCGCCACUCAAUCUGUGGCACACCCGGUAUAACCAAUAUGACUGUCUUAGCAUGACAGUAGCAUGACACGGAGAUAGCCAAUCCAUGCCCAAAAUAAUAUCGAAGUCUACCAUACAUAAUAACAACAGAUCCCUCGGGUCUCCAGGCCCCCAAUAGUCACUACACAUGACCGGUACACACGGUCUACAACAACGUUAUCUCCCAACAAAGUAGAUAUAUGAACAGGUGAAACAAGAGACUCAUGAGGCAUAUCCAAAUAACGAGAAAAUUAUGAUGACACAUAAGAAAAGGUGGAAUCAGGAUCAAAUAAUACAAAAGCAUCUUUGUGGCAGACUGAGACAAUACUUGUAAUAACAGCAUCGGAAACAAUAGCAUCCAGUCUAGCUAGAAGUGCAUAGAAACGGGCCUCACUAAUCUGCAACUGUGAUGCCCUAGCUACUGUGCAGGCCACACCCCUGCCCCUAUCACAACCACGACCGCGCCCUCGGCCUCUAGUAGCCACAACUAGAGGAUAAAUACAGACAUCUUCGUACCGAUCCGGGAGACUCUACUAAACCUGCUCAUGACUCAUGAGACCUAUGUAACCUAGGCUUUAAUACCAACUUGUCACGACCCUAAACUCGGACCCGAUCGUGAUGGUUCCUCUCGUGAAGACAAGGCCAGCCGACACAUUCUCACUUCAUUUUAAGCAAUUAAAAUAAUAAGUAAUUAGUCUUAAACAUGAUAAAAUCCCAAAAUAAGCAGUGAACAGUAUAAUUUGCAAAAUUAAAACGAAUACAGCCCGACAUCGGGGUGUCACUAGUCAUGAGCAUCUAACAAUGUACUACAAGUCUGAAGAGUCUAUCAAGCUAUUAAAGAAUCACUAACAAGAGAAUGGAAACGAGAUAAAGGGGGAGAAGCACGGGGUUGCGAAUGCCGAGCAGCUACCUCGUGAACUCCGAAAUUUGCCGGGAUCUCUUAACCCUCGUAAGCAAGAUCAACAACACCUAAAUCGACACACAAGGUGCAGGGAGUAAAGUGAGUACUCCAACUCAAUGAGUAAUAAUCAUAAAUAAAGACUGAGAAGUAAGAAAUCACGUAAGGCACAUCACAGGCUAUAAGGAAGCAGUAAAAGCCAAUAAAAGUCAUGAAACAGUGAAAUUAUGCAACGUUACUUUAGUUUAGUUUAAGCUUCUUAAAAUCCCUUUUAAAACAGUUAAGCAAGUAAAGACGCCAACUAGAAAAGGUAAACACAUAAAGAAACGCCCCUCGGGCACAAUACCAACAGAAUCAGCCCCUCGGGCAACACAUGGAAUAAUAACCAGCCCUUGGGUUAUAUCUCACAUCUCAAUGGGUACUCGCGCUCACUGGGGGUGUGCCGACUCCUGAAGGAGCCCCUUAUGGCCCAAGCGCAAUAUCAAGUCAUCUCGUGGCAUCAUCACUAGGCUCUCGGCCUCAUAUCAACAAGCCACCUCGCGACGUACAAAUCUCAGGCCCUCAGCCUCAUAAUCAUAAUCAGUGUUUCCUUUACAACAUAGGCCCUUAGCCUAACUCAGUUAGAAUCUCACAAGCUACUCGGGCAACAGUAAAACGUGGUGAUCAGUCCAAAAUAUCAUUUAAAAUCUCAUUUAAGUGAUAAAGCAGAGUAAACAUGACUGAGUUAUGAAAACAGUAGAAUAUAGCAUGACUGAGUUCAAGUAUAAAGUCAAAACAGUGAGGAAAUAUCAAUAAAAAUCCCCUAAGGGUUCAAAUAGUGGGCAUGAGGCCCAAAUAUGACAUUCAGCCCAAAACAUGAUGAUAACAAAUAACUUUCAGUCAAAUAUGCGGUAAAACAAUCAUUCAAGAUGGACUAAGUCACAAUACCCAACAGUGUACAACCCCAUGCUCGUCAUCUAGCAUGUGAGCCACCUCAAUAUAGCACAACGAUGUGCAAUCCGGGGUUUCAUACCCUCAGAACAAUAUUUACAAUCAUUACUCACCUCUACCCGGUCCAAAUCUCUAGCUCGCGAUGCCUUUGCCCCUCGAAUCAGCCUCCAGAUGCUCCAAAUCUAACAAAAAUCAGUGCAAAACUAUCAAAAUAUGCUGAGGGAACAAAGCCUACUCGAAAGAAAUCAAAUUACAACAUAAAUCCCGAAAUUGGCCAAACCCGACACCCGGGCCCACGUAUCAGAUACCGAUAAAAUUUACAUAAGUGUACUCCUUAUCACUCCCCGAGUUCAUUCAUACCAAAAGCAUCAAAAUCCAAUCACAAACGACCCCUCAAAUCCCAAAUUCUAGGUCUCCAAUUUCAAGCUCUAGUUCUUCAAUUUUAGGCUUAGUUUCCAUGAUUAAUUAGGUAGAAUUCACAUUAGAAUAGAGUAUUAAGUCCAUGAACCUUACCUCCAAGCGUUUCCCCUUGAAUCCCUCUUCAAUCCUCUUCAAAAAGCUCCAAAAUUUCUCAAAUAUGGUGGAAAUAAACCCCAAAAAUCGCGGACAAGAUGACUAUUUAAACAUUCUGCCCAGGCCUUAAUUUCUUCUUCACGAACGCGAGGCAUUGCACAAACCAAUUUUGACUAGAAAAAUCCUCUAUGCGAACUCGACCAGCCACUCGCGAACGCGAUGGCUCCUCAGCUUGACCCUUCGCGAUCGUGCUCCCUCUCUCGCGAACGCGAUGAACAAAAUACCUUGAAAAACAGUUGUUCAAUUCCCUCUAUGCGAAUGCGACUCCACCUAGCGAACGCGAUGCACCUGAUUACAGCCCUUUGCGAAUGCGGAGCCUUCCUUGCGAAUGCGAAGGCUAAAUCAUCUGCCUCCUCAACUAACCCUUCGCGAACGCGAGGGCCUACUCGCGAAUGUGAAGUCCAUUUUUCUGCAACACUUAUUAGCAAUUUCUGCAAUUCUCAACAACAUGAAAUGGUCUAAUUGACCACCCGAAACUCACCCGAGGCCCCCGGGACCUCAACCAAACAUGCCAACAUAUCCCAUAAUAUCAUUCAAACUUUCUCCAAUCUUCGGAAUGCUAAAAAAAAUCAAAACACCAAAUUCGCAUCGGAUUCAAGCCUAAGAAUUCAAAAUCUUCUAAAUUACACUUUUGAUCAAAAAUCCAACCAAACCAUAUCCGAAUGACCUGAAAUUUUGCACACACAUCACAAAUGACCCAACGGAACUACUUCAUCUCUCGGAAUUCCAUUCCAACCCCUAUAUCAAAAUCUCACCUAUUAAAUAGAAAACGCCAAAAAUCUAAUUUCGCAAAUUCAAGACUAAAUCUACUCCGGGCCUCCAAAACACAUUUCGAUCAUGCUCCUAAGUCCCAAAUCACCUCCCGAAAAUAUCCGAACCAUCAGAACUCACAUCCGAGCCCUUUAAGACAUAAGUCAACAUCCGAGCCAACCAACCCGAUCACAUAUAGAACCGAUAGACAAAGCAAUAAGAAGCAGAAAUGAGAAAAACAGAGCGGUAACUCAUGAGACGACUGGCCUGGUUGUCAUAGUAUCAACACUGCCCACCUGACAAACCACACAUUACCAGCUGGAUGAUCGUACCAAAGUGGACGCCGAAUAUUUGGCAUGGCUACAGGAGCAAAUAUUUACUUGGGACCGGUGAUUUGACCUGAUUCUGCCCCAUUUACCGAGUCGGCCGGAUAUUGGGCAUGAUUAUAUGGGCUGGUACCGCGGCAUUACCCGACUUUUCAUUGGGAAUACCAUUCAUCGAGCUGGCGGUCGAUACGUCCCAUACGUCGGGAGGCACGAGGCACUGGUAUGUUAUUUGGUAUUCUUACUUAUAACUAUCACCUAGCGUUCCGUAGUUUAUAUUUUACAUGUUGUGUAGGCUAUUGGCCUACAUUUAUUCCACCGGUUGGGACUGUAGAUGCAUCAGCAUGCCGGUGAGGGAGCGACCAUUUUGCACGAGUAUGGCCAGCAGGUUACAAAUCUAGUUGCCCGGACACUACAACGAGCCCGAGAGAAUGAUCGCUUAGUGCACGUCCCUGAUUAUGUGGUUCCAGAGCAGUACCAUCGAGGUAGGCCUGUCCCACGAGGUAGGGGAGCACGAGGUAGGGUUUUCCCAUGAGGCAGGGCUGUCCCAUGGGGUCGUGGGGGCCGACAAGGAGGUGGUCCCCAGCAAGGGGGCGUUGAGGCACCUAUUGAGGAUGUUGGAGGUGAUCUGCUGGGUAACCUCCAUCAGCCAGACGAGCAUCACUGCAGCAUGCCGUCAUUCAGCCUUCAGUUGUCGUUCACUCCAACAGCAUCGCAGGUGACCCCGUCAGAUCCAUUGUUGAUCACGGUCAUGAGCAUUACCGGAGAUGAUUGGGAGAAGUACUUUUCAGGCCUAGCGACCAUUGCUGAGGAUCGGUCGACCAAAGAUAUGGAUGGUGGGCGCCGGCUGAGUUAUGGCUUAUCGUCGACGGGUGCUGGGGAUCUUUCACAGACGUAGGUAUGUUUGUAUUACUAUUAAAUUUACAUUUGUUUUUAUCUCAUUGAUUCGCCAUAAAUAACAUUAUAAUUUUCUUAUUAAGGCUUCAUCCUAGCCCGUUACGGAGGCCACUUUGUGCGAUGUUGAGUAGGAUACGAGAUGCUUAUAUUUAGAAGACCGACGAGACCAUGGUAAAAUAAUUUAAAAUUUUGUUGACUUAACACGUACAUUACUAAUAUAUAUUUUUAUAUACUGAGCUGAUUUAUUCUUCUGUAGGUUGCUGAUGGACCGAUAUCCCCUUCUACCGUUCCUACCAGCACUACUCACAAUCAUGCUACAGCGCAUCCUGCGAUAAAGAGGCAACGUGAUGAGGAUUAUCCUAAUAGCGUAUCCGGGCGGGAUGGGAUGCGCCUCAGGCCAGUUUGUGUUUGUUUGACAACGUGUUGCUUCAAGUGGUUCAAAAAUAGCAUCCACGUCUCUUGGCUUUCAUUGGCACAGAUGGCAAAGGCUAGUGGAAAUAUUUCUCCAUUGGCAUCUACUACAACUGCGAUCAACAACUUAAUAUCAUACUUUCCAUAGACAUGAGUACCGUCUUUGGAAAUUACCGGACGACAAUGCACAAAACCAUCAAUUGUUGGUUUAAAUGUGCAGAACACGUAUUUGAAUAUAUAUUUUGGUAAUUCUAAACUCCGCUCAAGCUUCCAUUCAACAACAGUCAUGGGGUUAAAGUGUUUCAAUGCGGCCAUGUACCUCGGUAGAGAUGCAAAUGACUUAUCCCAGUCACCAUAAUCAAUUUAAAAGGCACGCUUGCGCCCGAGAUAUGCCUUUCUUUUGGUAAUAGUACACCCACAUUCCUGGUGGAUGGAUGUAAUACACUUUUUGAUCUUGUACCUUAUGGACGCUUCAAUGUGUGGAAUGAGCUGAAGAGAAAUCAAGUCAACAUCCAAGUUGAAGUGAUUCCCAUUGAAUGAGUGCAUUUCACAGUUGUGGGUGCCAAUAUAUUUACCCACUCUCCAGAACUCUUUUUCCUUCUUGCUCGCACACAGUAUCCAAUGACAACCCGAAAACCAUUUACAGCAAACAACCUUGUAUACAUUCAAACUUGACUCCCAUACUAUCAUCUCACGACACUCUCUUAUGCUGUACAUUUUUGCAGCCCUGGUUAGGCGAGCUUUGUCAGGAAAAAGCAUGACCUUUGCCAGCACCAUUGGUUUAGACUCAUCCCACAUUGUUGUCUGAAUUUUGUCAAGAUCCCUUGUGAGGGCAUCCACAUCUGGCAUACUUGGCAAAUGAUCAAGGUAGGGAAUAUGCCUUGAAUGAAACGGCAAGUGGGACUCGUACACUCUUAUUCUAAUGGGAGGUGGAGCAUGCUCCCUUGUCGGUUUAGGUUCGGCAUUCUCUUCCUCCUUAUCAUCACCCUCGUCAGGGAAGGGUGUGCCAUAUCCAGACUCGUCGGCAUUUGUAAUGACCUGACCUGUCGUCGGUUUUGGUUUCCAGGGUAAUCAGAAAGAAUUUGGAAGAAACAAUUCUUAGUUUGAAGCUUAAAAUUUGAAAGGUUUGACCAAGAUUUGACUUGUUAGUAGAUGACCUCGGAUUGAAAUUUUUAUGAUUUGGUUAGCUCCAUUAGGUGAUUUGGGACUUAAAAGCGUGGUUAGAAUGUGUUUUGGAGGUCCGCAGAAGGUUUGGGCUUGAAUUGGCAAAAUUGAGAUUUUGGCAUUUUCUGGAUGAUAGGUGAGAUUUUGAUAUAGGGGUUGGAAUGGAAUUCUGGAAGUUGGAGUAGGUCCGUUGUGUCAUUUGUGAUGUGUGUGCAAAAUUUCAGGUCAUUCGGAUGAGAUUUGGUAGACUUUUUGAUCGAAAGCGGAAUUUGGAAGUUCUUGGAAUUCUUAGGCUUGAAUCCGAUGUGAUUUUGGUGUUUUGAUGCUGUUUUGAGAGUUUUGAAGGUUGGAACAAGUUUGAAUGAGGUUAUGGGAUAUGUUGGCAUGUUUGGUUGAGGUCCCGAGGGCCUCGGGUGAGUUUUGGGUGGUUAAACGUAUCGUUUCAUGUUGGUGGAAAUUGCAGAAUUACUGCUGUUGGUGUUGCAAGUUUUUGACCUUCGUGUUCGCGAUGCAUGUCCUGCAUUCGCGAAGGAUUAGGGUGUGAGGCUGUGGAGUUGGCCUUCGUGUUCGCGAAGAUGGUUCCGCGAUCGCGAAAGGGUGAGGUCAAUGGCCACCGCAUUCGCAAGGCUUAUGCCUCGUUCGCGUAGAGGAAGAGAAAUAGUUGGGUCCCCAAGGCAAUUGUUCUAUGUGUUCGCAUAGUAGAGAACGCGUUCGCGAAGAGUUGAGUCAGUUGUGCAUCGCAUUGGCACAGAUGGCAAAGUCUAGUGGAAAUAUUUGUCCAUUGCCAUCUACUGCAACUGCGAUCAACAACUUAAUAUCAUACUUUUCAUAGACAUGAGUACCGUCUAUGAAAAUUACCGGACGACAAUGCACAAAACCAUCAAUUGCUGGUUUAAAUGCCCAGAACACGUAUCUGAAUAUAUAUUCCGGUAAUUCUACACUCCGCUCAAGCUUCCAUUCAAUAAUAGUCCCGGAGUUAAAGUGUUUCAAUGCGGCCAUAUACCUCGCUAGAGAUGCAAAUGACUUAUCCCAGUCACCAUAAUCAAUUUCAAAUGCACGUUUGUGCCCGAGAUAUACCUUUCUUUUGGUAAUACUACACCCAUAUUCCUGGUGGAUGGAUGUAAUACAGUUUUUGAUCUUGUACCUUAUGGACACUUCAAUGUGUGGAAUGAGUUGAAGAGAAAUCAAGUCAACAUCCAAGUUGAAGUGAUUCCCAUUGAAUGUGUCCAUUUCACAGUUGAGGGUGCCAAUAUAUUUACCAACUUUCCAGAACCCUGUUUACUUUUUGCUUGCACGUAGUAUCCAAUAACAACCCAUAAACCAUCUAUGGCAAACAACCUUGUAUACAUUCAGACUUAACUCCCAUACUAUCAUCUCACGACACUCUCUUACGCUGUACAUUUUUGCAGCCCUAGUUAGGCGAGCUUUGUCAGGAAAAAACAUGACCUUUGCCAGCACCAUUGGUUUAGUCUCAUCCCACAUUGUUGUGCGAAUUUCAUCAAGAUCCCUUGUGAGGGCAUCCAUAUCCGGCAUACUUGGCAAAUGAUCAAGGUAGGGAAUGUGCCUUGAAUGAAACAGAAAGUGGGACUCGUACACUCUUGGUCUAAUGGGAGGUGGAGCAUGCUCCCUUGUCAGCUCAGGUUCGGCAUUCUCUUCCUCCUCAUCAUCACCCUCGUCAGGGAAAGGUGUGCCAUAUCUAGAUUUGUCGGCAUUUGUAAAGACCCGAUCGGUCGUUUUGAGCUUUUGCACUUUGCUCUCCAGUUAUUAGGCAUGACUAGCCCCGUGUGAUGUAUCAUGACUUAUGUAAAUCGUCGGUUUUGGUUUCCAGGGUAAUCAGAAAGAAUUUGGAAGAAACAGUUUUCAAUUUGAAGCUUAAAAUUUGAAAGGUUUGACCAAGAUUUGACUUGUUAGUAGAUGACCUCAGAUUGGAAUUUUUAUGAUUUGGUUAGCUCUGUUAGGUGAUUUGGGACUUAAAAGCGUGGUUGGAAUGUGUGUUGGAGGUCCGCAGAAGGUUUAGGCUUGAAUUGGCUAAAUUGAGAUUUUGGCGUUUUUCGGUUGAUAGGUGAGAUUUUGAUAUAGGUGUCGGAAUGGAAUUUUGGAAGUUGGACUAUGUCCAUAAUGUCAUUUGUGAUGUAUGUGCAAAAUGUUAGGUCAUUCGGACGAGAUUUGGUAGAUUUUUUGAUCGAAAGCGGAAUUUGGAAGUUCUUGGAAUUCUUAAGCUUGAAUCUGACGUGAUUUUGGUGUUUUGAGAGUUCCAAAGGUUGGAACAAGUUUGAAUAAGGUUAUGGGAUAUGUUGGAAUGUUUGGUUGUCUCUAGGGCCUCGGGGAAGUUUCGGGUGGUUAAACGGAUCGCUUCAUGUUGGUGGAAAUUGCAGAAUUACUGCUGUUCGUGUUGCAUGUUUUUGACCUUCAUGUUCGCGAUACAUGUCCCGCAUUCGCAAAGGAUUAGGGUGUGAGGCUGUGGAGUUGGCCUUCACGUUCACGAAGAUGGUUCCGCGAUCGCGAAGGGGUGAGGUCAAUGGCCACCACGUUCGUGAGGCUUAUGCCUCAUUCGUGUAGCUGGGUCCCUAAGGCGAUUAUUCUACGCGUUCGCGUAGUAGAGGUCGUGUUUGGGAAGAGUUGAGUCAGUUAUGCAUGACGUUCGUGAGUGGGUUCUCGCGUUUGCGUAGAAGAAAUUCCGGUCAGUGAAGCAGUGUGCUUUGCGAACGCGAGGGAGAUACCACAUUCGCGAUGAAGAAAAAUCUGGGCAAACAGUUUAUAUUUAAAAAUCGAGGGUUUAUGUCCAAUAUCAUAAAAGCCAUUGGCGAGCUCGGGAGAAGGUGAAAUUCAGUGGAGCAAUUGGGGUAAGUAUUCUUCACUCAUAUUUGGUUUAAUUCCAUAAUUUAGUCUUGAAUUUCAUCAUUUAAUUUGAGAAAUUAGAGUGGAAAUUGGAGAAAAAUGGAAGAAAAGUUUGAGAAUUCUUUUGGGGAUUUGAAUGGGCAAUUGAGGUCGGAUUUUGAUAAAUUUGAUAUGGGUAGACUCGUGAGAGGAUAAAGAUUCUAUUAAUGUGAUUUUUAUCGGGUUCCGAGACGUGGGCAUGGGGGCCGGGUUUGAGCAAUUUCGGGAUUUUUGAUGUAAAUUGGAUAUUUGCGAGUGGGCUUUGUUCCCUUAGCAUAUUUUAAUGAUUUUGGUUAGAUUUGGAGCAUCCGGAGGUCGAUUCGAGACGGCAAAGGCAUCGCAGGCUAGAGUUUAAACUGGAUCGAGGUGAGUAAUGAUUGUAAAUGUUGUCCUGAGGGUAUGAAACCCCGGAUUACAGAUCGUUGUGCUACAUUGCGGUGACGCACAUGCUAGAUGACGAGCGUAGGGUCGUGCACCAUUGGGGAUUGUAACUUAGUCCGUCCCGAAUGACUGUUUUAUUGAGUAUUUGAUGGAAAAUUGUUUGCUAUCAUUAUGUUUUGGGCGGAAUGUCAUAAUUAGGCAUCGUGCCAACUAUUUGGACCCUUAGGGGAUCUUUACUGGUAUUUCCUCACUGUUUUGAGUUUAUACUUGUACUCAGUCAUGCUAUAUAUAUUGUUUUCAUAACUUCAAUCCGAGGGGCUGGUGUUGUUCCAUGAUAUUUCCCGAGAGGCGGGUUUUGUUGACAUUAUGCCUGAGGGGUGGAUUUUAUGUGUUUAUUUGUUCUAGCUGCUUUUCAUUUAAUUAUUUAACUGUUAAAAAGGUGUUUUAAAGAAGAUUCUUCUGAACUAAGGUGUCUUUAUAUGUUUUCACUGUUUCAUUGCUUUUUACUAGUUUUAUACUGCUUCUUUAUAGCAUAUUGAUGUGCUCUUACGUGAUUUCUUAUCGUUCAGUCUUCAUUUAUUAUUAUUACUCACUNNNNNNNNNNNNGUGCAGAUUCAAGCGCUUCAGGUCCCCCUAGCGAGUGUUGAUUCUUCCAGCUCAGGCGGAUUCGGAGAUUCACUAGGUAGCUACUCGGCGUUCUAAGCCUAGUGCUUCUCCCUCUAUCUUAUUUUCUCUUAUUUUAGUUCUGUAAUAGACUAUGUAGACCCUUCCUAUUUUUAAAUCGAUUAGUAGAUGCUCAUGACUAGUGACACCCCGAUGUCCGGCUAUGUUUAUUCCGC